UAGGGCAGCUGUGAGUGCGACCUUUGCGGUGGCGGAGGAGAAGAAAACGAGGGGUGCACAAGAGCAUCUCUGAAUUAGCAGUUUUGUUUGUUUAAAAUUUAAAAAAAAACUAAAGGCCGAAAGUAGAGAAUAAUAAAAAAAAAAUUAUAGAAGAAGAAAGAAGAUGAUGAAACUGUACUGUUAAAAUUAAAUCACACUAUUUUAAAAAAAUAUUACACUAUUAUGAACCUAAGUUGCACUCUUUGAAAUAUAAAUUAUAUCAUUUAAGAUGAAAGUUACACUCUUUAAAUAAAAAUUAUACUCUUUCAGAGAUAUUUAUAUUAUUUAUCUUCUUAUUGUACUAUUUGAAAUAUAAAUUACACUAUUUAAAAAAAGAAAUAGUAUAUAUAUAUUUUUAUUUAAAAAAUAUAAUUUUUAUCUUAUGUGACGCAAUUAAAAUCAAACCUUCAAAAUGUAUCUCCACAUACUAUGGCUUCGGAGAGAGUCUUCGCAAAUGGGAUACGCUUCGUGCAAAUGGCUUGAUUGGCACGAAUAUAUGAAUUGAUCUGCUUUCUUAAUUUUGGAAAAAAGUUAGUAGCUAGCGCGUAAAAAAAGUGGAGGAUCAGAAUCAAUCUUAUCUAGAACCCCAGUCAAUCAACCACCGCUCGAUACCGUAUUAAAGAUUUGGACCAAAAUACUUUUGGUAGGAACGUGUAUUUAAAAUUCGAACACGGGGUGAAUAAUAAUACAUCACGGUGUAUGCCUUGCCAAAUUAUCUCAACAAAAACUUGCUGAGGCUCUCCUCAAUAAUAAAAUGCACUUGAAUGUAAACUGACAAAACACUAUUUUCUAGCCCAUUAAAAUUUUGCAUGAACCAGUUAUUUCUUAUAGAAAAGUCAGUCCCAAAUUGGCCUAAUCUUUUGGUUUGAAAGGCCAUUUUAGGAUCAGUUGCCGCCCAGCAGGCCUUAAUUCCAUUUCGGACCAAUUGUCAGUCCUAAUCCCUUCACAUGUUUCUUUCUCAAGUUGGGUUUCAAAAUCACCCAGGUUAAUUUUUUUUUUUUGGGUAAACUCCAAAUACUACCUUUGUUAUUUCGCACUCUCUCAUUUUAAUAUCUCAUAGUUUAAAGUAUAUUAAUUUAGUAUUCUGUGAACUUCAAAUACCAACUUUUCAUUAAAUAUAUAGAAAAAAACUUCAGAUAUCCCAUCUAUAUAGUUUAUCGAAUAUUCACUUUAGUGCCCUUUAGUUUUAACUUUAUCACUGAUCUGAUGAAAAAAUUAGUAAAGCAAAAUAACAAAAAGAGAAAAAUAAAAUCAUACAGUACGAAAGCGAUACACUUUAAAGCAUAGGGUACUAGAGCAAAAAUUGGAAACUACGGGGGUGGUAUUUGAAGUUUUUUUUUUAAUAAAAAAUUGUGUCCAUGGAUCGCACAACGUAUUAUGUAAACACCGCGAGAAUGUAUAAUAAAAAAUAUUUCAUUUAUAAUUACGGUAUAAUUUUUGCUGUUGAAAUUUUAACCCACGGAAGGCUCCUUUUAUAAUUAGUGGAAGUAAAUGUUAUAUACGCACCAUGAGAAUGUACAAUAAAAAAGUGUUUAAUUUGUUUGUAAUUAUAACAUAAUAAUUUUUACAGUAAAAACAUUAAAAGUUAAAACAGUCUCAAUAAAAAAAAAUAAUAAUGUUGAGGGUCUGUUGCAAAAUAAUGACCUAUCAUUGAGGAGUCUCUAUACAUUUUUUUUUUUUUUUUUUUGAGAGUGAAAAAUAGUAUGUUAUUUGUUUUGUUCAUUCUUUUAAAAAAAAAUUAGCUGAUAAUAUAAAGUCCUCUACUAAUGCAUUUUUAACUUCUAAAAUUACAGAAUAUCAAAAUACAAGUAGGCCAAGGGCAAGUUUGUUUCGCUCGGAUCAGAAGAGCUCGAAGAUUGUUAAAUAUAAAAAUAUAUAUACACCGUUGUCUAACAGUUUAAAAUUUUAAAAUAUAAUAAUUAUUUCACAUAAUAUCAUAUCAUUAGGAUCUGAAAAAACAAGCAAGCUUAAACUAGAAAAGGCCUAACUUAAAUUUUUGUAAAAAGGAGAAACAGAAACGAAAAGGAAAUAGUAUAUAAUAUAGAAUUAAUUUCAUAUAGGUCCAUGUAAAUAUAGUGAAUUAUAAAUAUAUUCCUAUAAAAUUCAAAUUCAUAUAUUAUCCUUACAAAAGUCUUAAUAUUUUCAAAUAUAUCUUCUGAUUUGUUACCGUUAAAAUAUUAUUUAUUUUAUAAGUGAAAUAAUCUUUUUACCAUCACAAAUAUAUCCCUCCAAAAAUCCCAACUAUUAAUUAAAGUGGGGUAAAAUGGUCAAUUUACCUCAUUAACUAAAUAGGGUUAAGUAUUUUAUUUAUGGUUAACUAAUUUUUUCUAACGGAUCCUAACGGCAGAGAUAUAUUGAAAAUAUCAGAAUUUUUAUAGAAAUAACAUAUAAAAAUUAAACUUUAUAGAAAUAUAUUUAUAAUUUAUUAUAUUUAUAGAAAUCUGAAUGAAAUUAACCCUCUAAUUAAGACAGUUAGGUCAGGAUUCUGGACCUGAACCCAAAUCUAACGCGUUGGCUGGCAAAUGAUGUUGACCCGAAUGUUUACAAAUGUGCGAUCCAUAUGGGUCAGAUCAAAUGAGUCCCGUCAAACUGGCCAAUUUGAGAACUGAGACUUCCAAAACUAACACAAGUGGCAAAAGAUUUGGUGGUUGGUAUCCGAGAUCUUAAGUUCGAAUUCUAGUUGAUUCACAUUUUUAGCUAAAUUUAUUUCUAAAUAGAAUAAAUGAUGCGGGUAGCAUGCUAUCUAUCUCUCAGAAAAAACUUUUACUAAAAAUUUGAGAAGAGAAUGACACUUUAUUACGAUUUCAUUGGCCGACUGCAUCUAGCGUAAUUAGUUGAGGACUAGCUUGAUGGUUGGUUUUGAGAUUCGAAAUGUUAUUACUUAUGUAAAUUUUUUCUAAAAAAAUAAACGACACGGAAAACAUACUAUUCCUUCUAAAAAACUAUCAUUAUAAUUUUAGAAUGCAAAAAUGGAAGCCUCCUUUAGCAUUAUUAUUAUUUGUUUUCUCUUAUUUGUUAUAUAAAAUUUGCGUUGGCUUUUUAUUAAUUUAGAGAAAAAAAAAAGAUACUAAAUACUUUCAUUGGCAAAGAAAAUAUUUUCAUUGGCAAAGAAAUAUACAGUGCAAGCAUUUCACCAUUUAUUCUCACACUCCAGCGCGUGAAAUUUAUAUUAAAAAAGUUAAAACAAAAGGAUAAUAAGAUCAACUGAGCCCUAAAUUGAGAUUAGGCUCUUAAGUUCAGCUAAUUAAAAGUUUACUUAAAAUCGAAUGCAUUACAGUAGAGUGGUUUAGCAAAAGCAAACUGUGCAUAAAAACAAUGUAGUAAAAAUAAAUUUACGUAUACAAAUAGAUGCAUAAAUUGUUUUUUCUUUUUCUUUUUUUUCAUGAUCUCCACCACGAUGUGAUCCAAUAUUUAUGAUCCAAAAAUGAAUGGCUCCUUAUUAAUUCCUCUCGCUUAAAUUUCAAUUUCAAAAAUCUCAAAAAUUGAGCACACCACUAGCGUAGUAAGGAGACCACUGCUCCAUCCACGGGCUACGUAGCUGCGUCAGGAACGGAUCCUGCAUCCACUCCAACCCGCUAUACUUGGGAACCUCGAGCUCGGCGAGGCCGGUCGGUCGGACAAGUCGGUCGGCCGGUUGAGCGGCGGAUUCGAUCGUCGACGGCGUCGGUUCCGCCUCCACCUCUUCGCAGUAGUCGGCUGCUGCCCCCACCUCCUUCGUUUCGAACUCGAGGGGGCUCACGAUGUCGUCCACCGGCGGCGGCGUCCAUUUCUGGGAGCUCUCCUGAUCGGAGCACGAAACGGAGUCCAUCGCGGGCGAAGCGGAGAUCUGCGGGGCCUCCGGCGCCGUCGCCGCCCUCUGCUCCAGCUCCUUCAGCGACGUGGUGGAUGUAAGUAGUACUCAAUCGAAUUCAUGACCUCUCGGUGUGAAGAGGCUCAGGAUUGGUCAGAAACCUUUCUAUCAAAUUAGUCUUUUUUUAGAUGCGUUUUUGGCUGUCAAGUUUUACUCUUGCACUAAUUUUAAAGCAUCCUAAAAUACAAUUCAGCGGCAGGAGAGAGUGACGAAUCUCAAAAGACCAAUCUGAUAAUUAUUUUUUUUUUCUUUUUUUUUUUUCCUCGGAAGUGACUUUAAUAUUAUUAUUAUCAUUAUUUGUUGGCUGUCCGAAGUGACUCUGAUAUCAUAUAAACUAGAAGAUCCGAAUGUCGAUGCCAUUAUGCAAAUAUAUUAGAAAUUCAUUCUUUCCCAACCGUAUGUAUUGUUUCUAUUGAUAACUAUUAGCCGUAGAAAUUCUUUUUUUUUUUUUUUUUUUUUUUUUUCUUUUGGAGCCCUGAUUGUCUCACCUCUGUAGCCUAAUUCACUUAUCAAUGAAUGAAGCAGGUAGCGUACUACCGAUUCUCAAAAAAAAAAACUAUUAGCUGUAAUAAGAAAUUUUCUAGGAGCUUUGUAAUUAUGCAUUGCAAUUAUGCGUACAUUAAACAUGCAAAUGGAUAUGAGAAAUUAAUUUUUUUUUUUCUUUUACUUCCACAAGGAGUGCAGAAUUAAUUAAAUUAGCUAUAGUGCACGCGCUCAUCAUACACAUGACAAACGAUCGGAUUUGUUGUUAAAUAAAGAUAAAAAAUAUUGAUGGUAAUUUUACAAAUACUUGGUGGAUAAUUUCACAAUCUACUCUCUAUAAGUAUCAAAUAAAACUUCAAGCACAAGAGCAAUAAUAAAAUAAACAAAACCAUAAGAACACAAGGAUUUACGUUGUUCGGCUAUUCCUACAUUCACGGAAGAACAAUACAAAAAAAGAUUCCACUAUAAACUUGAAAAUUAUAAGAGAGAUUCAAAUGAGAAAAAUAUCACCUUAACUUUAAGAUAUAUCGGCUAUUUCUACGUCCACGGAAGAACAAUACAAAAAAAGAUUUCACUAUAAACUUGAAGAUUAUAAGAGAGAUUCAAAUGAGAGAAAUAUCAUAUUAACUUCAAGAUAUACAAAAGAGAGCUCCAACAAUUUUUGGCUCUACCCAAAUAGUGUAAACCAUACAUCACAAGAAAGAUCUCACAUCCUUCUUGACAGAACGAAGAUCAAAACCAAACUCUAGAGUUUUCUCUCUUUUCUCCCACUUCUUUUCUCACUCUCUAGUUCUCUCUCUUUUUUUUUUCUUCAUAUUCUAAAAUCGCACUUUAGCUUAGGGAUGCAAACGGAGCGGAUUUGGGGGCGGGAGCCCCGCCCAGCCUACCUCCCACUCAGACUAGCAAAAUCCCGCACCGCCUCCCGCCCCGAAUCCGUGACGGGUUAAAAAAAUAUAUCCCAUAAUCCGCCCCGUCUUGUAACCCGCCUCCAGUCGGCGCUCCGAAUUCGCCCCGCCAACUAAUAUUUUUUUAUAAAAUUAUAAUAUUAUUAGUAUUUUGUAAAAUAUAAAAUAAUAAUUUUUAAUAAUAUUAUAUAUAUAAUUUAAUAAUAUCAAUUAUAAAAAUAAAAAACAUCAAUCACAAUUCAAAACAAAAUUCAAAAGUUUCAAAUACAUUAGAAAUGAGAGUACUAACUUAUUUGUAUUUUAAACUUUUUUGUAAAUUACAUUAUUUUUUAGGAAUAUUUUUUAAAAUAUAAAUAAUUUUCGGGACGGGCGGAUUCGGGGCGGAUCAUAGCGGGGCGGAUUUGGGGCGGAUUCGGGGCGGAUCAAAAUUUCUCUCGUUUCCUGCCCCGAAUCCGUUCCGGAUCAUAAAAUUUAUUCCGUUUCCCGUCCCGAAUCCGUUUAUUUUCUCUCAUUUGCUGCCUCCGUCGGGGUGGAUCGGGGCGGGAACUCCACCAACCCAGAUCCAUUUGCACUCCUACUUUAGCUCCUAAGAGAAAAACCUAUCAAUAUGGGCAUUUGGAUAAAAAAAUAAAAUGAUCCAGAAGCUUACAAAUAGGGGCCCACAUACACAAUAAGAAAAUAUAGAAAUAGCAGAUUUUGACUUUAUCAAAUUAUAUAGUCCAAAUAGUAAGACCCUAAUAACAAAUAGACUCAAUAAAAUUAGCUCAACAGGACUGAAUGAUUUCCAGUUUGGUGAUUUUUGAUUCACGGCAGGCUCCCAACCUACUCCUUGAAAUGCAGGUCAACAUGAGUACGCCCAAGCUCGCCACACCAAUCUGAGCCCAAGCAUUCAAUCCCAGCCCCUCUAAUAUUACAUGCAGACCCAUCCCUGACAGUAACGGCGGCCCCCAAGAUAAGUCUGCAGGUUGAAUGCAACCAUUAGGUCCACUCAAGAAUGCCUGAAGGCCCAGCCCGAUAAAAUAAAGCACUACCAUAGAUCGCAAGAAAGUUCGAUCUUGAAGCGCCGAGUCCCAAGUUCGAAUCCUAGUUAAUUCAUAUUUCUAACUAAGUUUAUUUCUGAAUGAAAUAAAUCAAGCGGAUAGCCUAUCCCUCAAAAAAAAAAAAAAAAAAAAAAAAAAAAGCGCCGAGUCGAACGCCCUCUCUUUGACCGCAUCUGGAUGCGAUCUUAAUAUUAUUAUUUUUAGUUGGAAUGCGAAGUCUAGUACUGGUCCCUAAAGAGACAAAUUUUGGCUAGUCUCCGUCAAAUUUUCUGUCUUUGAUAAUUAUUGAUUGAAAAUAUAUUUGUCCUAAAUAAAUUUUUUUUUUUUGGUAGAUAUACAAGAAGACCGUGUCAACUACUACUUUGCAAAUAAGGUAUUUUUUGGGAGUUUUUUUUUUUUCUUGAGAUUUUCAUUGAAUUUGAACUCAUUCAUUCCGUAUGAUAUUUUGGAUCCAGAUACAAUCUUUGGUUGCAGUAACUACAUGGCACUUAAUGGAUCUGAAAUUCAAAUGCCGCUUCAAACAAGAUAUCAUCUACAUUAAGCCGAAACUUACUAAAAAACAAGUACAAUAAAAAUAAAAAUAAAUCAUUGUGAGGUUGGCAUUUCAACAGUGGAGAGGCCAAUUUGUGAUCCUCUUCUUUUUUAAAAAAAAAAAGAAAAAAAAGAAAAAAGAAAAAAGAAAAGACACUUGAAUAACGAGGUUUUUAUUGGGUUCUUUCUUCUACAAAUACCAAUCCCCGCUCCUCCCAUUCGCCACAUCAGAAAAACAAAAUGAAGUUCUCUGUCUUCAUCAUCUUACUUGUCUCAAUUACCGCCUCGCUGCAUGGCGUCCUUGCUGAGCAGUGCGGCAGCCAAGCCGGAGGCGCCCUGUGCUCCGGCGGCCUUUGCUGCAGCAAGUGGGGCUACUGCGGAAACACUCCCCCUUACUGCGACGACGGCUGUCAGAGCCAGUGUUCCCAGCCCUCCCCGCCACCGGCUUCCCCGCCCUCACCGCCGCCUUUCCCUCCUUCGGCGCCCUCGCCGGGCAGCGACGGAGUCGCAUCGAUCAUCUCCUCCGAUCUGUUCGACGAGAUGCUGAUGCACCGCAAUGACGCCGCCUGCCCGGCCCACGGGUUCUACCAGUACGAAGACUUCAUCGCGGCCACCAACGCAUUCGUCGACUUCGGGACGACGGGCGACCUCGACACCCGCAAGCGGGAGAUCGCGGCGUUCUUGGCGCAGACGUCGCACGAGACCACCGGUAUGUUCUUAUAUAAUUUAUGUGGAUUGAAUUGAACUAGUACGAUCGAUUCAAACGACUUCACACAUACAAAAAUACAAAAUAUGAUCGAAAUGACUGGUAUACAGGUGGAUAUAAUACAGGCGGGUGGGCGCCACCGCCGACUACUGCGUUCCGAGCACGCAGUGGCCGUGCGCAACCGGGAAGGAGUACUACGGCCGUGGGCCCAUUCAAAUCUCCUAGUAUGUAUAGUAGUAAUGUUUUUUGAACUAUUAAUUAAUAAUGUGUCGAAUUGAUCAGUUUCCAAUAUUUAGUUAGUUAAUAGAAAGAUAAUGUGUAGAAACCAAGUCAACAUUUUUUUCUGGUUGAAUUUAGUCAAAUUCCGACAGAUGUUUUGAUUGGAAUUAUUGCAGCAAUUUCAACUACGGCCUGGUGGGGGAAGCCCUCGGAGUGGACCUGCUCAACAAACCGGACUUGGUGGCGACGAAUCCGACAAUCUCGUUCGAGACCGCACUCUGGUUCUGGAUGACCCCUCAACCGCCCAUGCCGUCGUGGCACGACGUGAUCACCGAUCGCUGGACCCCCUCCGCCGCCGACAUAUCGGCCGGUCGGCUUCCGGGGUACGGAGUCAUCACCAACAUCAUCAACGGCGGACUCGAGUGCGGUCACGGGCCCGACAGCCGCGUCGCGGAUCGGAUAGGGUUCUACAAGAGAUAUUGUGACAUUCUCGGAGUCAGCUAUGGGGAUAACUUGGACUGCUACAAUCAGAAGCCCUUUAAUUCGGGUAGUUAGCUAAUGAGGCUACUUGCAUGAUUAUAAUAAAUAAUCACCUGUUGGAGAAAAUUAUGUAAUGAAUAAGACUGUAAUGAAUAAGCCAUUUUUUGAUUUUCAGAUUAUAAUGAGAGUGAAAUUCUCAAAUUUUAUUUUAUUAUAAAUUCUAGACAGAAUUUAUAAAUUAUUAUCAUUUUUCGUUCGAAUUAUUUGAAUUGUUGUAAUCAAAUUCUAAGUCUAAUUUAGUUGGUUAAAUAUUGAUAAAUUUUUUAUCUAUAAUUUACCAAUAUUUAGUUAAUUACAUUUAAUCGUAAGACUUAAUUAUAACAAUUUAUAAUUGUUUUAAGAAAGAGAUAGUAUACUACUCGUUUCGUUUAUUUCUUUUAGAAAUAAACUUAGCUGAGAAUGUAAAGCAACUAAGUUUUGAAUUUGGGAUCUCGAAUACUAACCACCUAGUCUUUUGCCACUUGCAGUAGGAAUAAUUAAUAACAAUUCAUAAAUUAAAUUCAAACUAAAAAAUACAAUAAAUUAAAUUUUGAAAAAGUUCAAACUAAAAAAUACAACAAAUAAAUUUUGAAAAAGUUCAAACUAAAAAAUACAACAAAUUAAAUUUUGAAAAUCAACGUGGCAAGGGACUCAUAUAUUGAGGACAAAAGUGUGAUUUAUCCUGCUAUCAGAUAGGAAAGGCCAAUGUACUUUGCACAUACAUUCAAUGUAGAAGCAUUUAUUUUUUGAGAGAGAUAGAUAGCACGCUAUCCGUUUCGUUUAUUUCAUUUAAAAAUAAAUUUAGCUGGAAAUGUGAAUCAAUUAGGAUUCGAACUUGAGUCUCAUAUAUCAACCACUAAACCCUUUGCCACUUGCUCUUGAAACGGUCGGUACUGUAGAAGCAUUUAUAAAACUACUACCGGUAAUCCCUAACUUACUUUAAAGUUGAAUGCUAUCACAUGCCGAUACCUAGAAGGUACCAUCUAUAACUAUAUAUUAUUCCUCAAUAACUACACACGUGUUAAGAGGAGGCAGAGGCGCGGGUGAGGGCGCGGCGCGUGGGCGGCCGCGUGGGGAGCCGCGACUGGAGCGGGCGCAUUGAUGAAAUUAAUUGCGAGAAUCACAAAUAAUGAUUUCUCUUCUUAUUCACUAACUACUGGGGGCCUACAAUACCUGCUAAAAUUAUUUCACUAACUAAUGGGGGAGUACUAUGCCUAUUAAAUUUUUUUUUUUUUUUGAGAAAUAGAUAGCACGCUACCCGCUUCGCUUAUUUCAUUUAGAAAUAAACUUAGCUGAAAAUGUGAAUCAACUAGGAUUCGAACUUGGGUCUCGAGUAUCAACCACCAAGCCCUUUGCCAUUUGUUUUAGGGACGAUCGGUGCAUUAAAAUUUUUUGAUGUACUUAUUGCACCAUUUAAAUUCUGAAAUUGAUUUUUAUAACUAAUUUUUAAAAUUAAAUUUUAAAAUAACUACCCGCAGCAUCGCGCGGGUCGCUUAACUAGUAUAAUACCAUUCAUGAAGUGACAUUAUUAUUAUUAUACUCUAAAUAUCCAUUAUUAUUAUAUCUUAAACUCUAAAUCUUAAUCUCUCUAUAUGUAUUAGUGAACAUAUCAAUAAUAUUGGAGGGUAUUCCAACAUGAGAUACCCAAAGCAUUUCUCUUUAAAAUUAGUUUUCCAUACGGACCAAAACAAUUUUUGUUCUUAAAUGAUGAUUGAUCAAUAAAAGAGAUGAUACCUUCAAAAUUAAAUUGAAAUCAAAGCUUUAAAAUGUAUCUCCACAUACUGUAGCUUUGGAGAUCGUCUUCGCAAAUGGGAUAUGCUUCACACAAAAGACCUGAUUGGCAUGAAAAUAUGAAUUAAUCUGCUUUCUUGAUUUUGAAAAAGAAAUUAAUAGCUAGCGAAUAAAAAGGUGAAGAAUCAAAAUCAAUCUUAUUUAGUCCCCCUCUCAAUCCGCCGCUCGAUCGAUACUGUGUUUAAGAUUUGGACAAAAGUACUUUUGGAAUUGGAACGGAUAUUUAAAAUUCGAACACGGGAUGAAUAAUGCGGCUUGGUGUAUGUCUUACCAAAUUGUCUCAACAAAAACUUGUAUGAGGCCGAGGUGGGAUUAUCUUAUUCCAGCAAAGCAGAUCCCUUGAUGAUUUUUUUUUUUUUUUUUCGCUCUCUCGAGGUCCGGGUUGCCUCACCAUGUAGACUAGUUCAUACUUUUAAUGAAUGAAGCGGAUAGCGUAUUACUUUUUUUUUCAAAAAAAAAAAAACUUGUACGAGGCUCUCCUCAAUAAAAUGCACUUGAAUGCAAAAUGACAAAACACUAUUUUCUGCCUUAAUUCCAUUUCGGACCAAUUAUCAGUCCUAAUCCUUUCGCAUGUUUCUUUCUCAAGUUGGGUUCCGAAAUCACCCAGGUUAAAUUUUUUUUUUUUUUAAUAAAAAACAUGUCCAUGGGCCGCACACCAUUAUGUAAGCACUGCAAGAAUGUAUGAUAAAAAAAUAUUUUAUUUAUAAUUACGGUAUAAUUUUUGCUGUUAAAAUUUUAACCAGGAAAGGCUCCUUUUAUAAUUAGCGGAAGUAAAUGUUAUAUACGUACCAUGAGAAUGUACAAUGAAAAAGCGUUUAAUUUGUUUGUAAUUAUGAUAUAAUUUUUACAAUAAAAACACUAAAAGUUAAAAAAGUCUCAAUGAAAAAAAUAAUAAUGUUCAGGGUCUGUUGCAAAAUAAUGACCUAUCAUUGAGGAGUCUCUAUACAUAUUAUUUUUUCUUUUUGAGAGAGGAAGAUAGUAUGUUAUCUGUUUUACUUUUUUUUUUUUUAAUAUUAGUUGAUAAUAUAAAAUCCUCUGCUACUUAUGCUAAGAACUCGGUCAUACAUUUUAACUUUGAAAAUGACAUAAUAUCAAAAUACAAGUAGGCUAAGGGCAAGUUUGUUACAUUCGUGUUAGAAGAGUUCGGAGAUUAUUAAAUAUAAAAAUAUAUAAACAUUAUUUUCUAACAACUUAAAAUUUUAAAUUAUAAUGAUUAUUUCACAUGAUAUCAUAGCAUAAGGAUCCAGAAAAACAAGCAAGCCUAAACUAGAGAAGGCCUAACUUAAAUUUUUGUAAAAGAAAAGGGCAAAAAAAAAAAAGAAGGAAAAAUAGAAACAGAAAGGAAAUAGUAUAUAAUAUAGGGUUAAUUUCAUAUAGAUCCCUACAAAUAUAGUGAAUUAUAAAUAUAUUCUUACAAAAUUUAAAUUUUAUAUAUUAUCUCUACAAAAGGCGUAAUAUUUUUAAAUAUAUUCUUCUGGUUUGUUACCAUUAAAAUACGAUUUAUUUUAUAAGUGAAAUGACCUUUUUACCAUCACAAAUAUGUUCCUUUAAAAGUCCCAACUAUUAAUUAAAGAGGUGUAAAAUGGUCAAUUUACUUUAUUAACUAAAUAGGGUUAAGUAUUUUACCUAUAGCUAACUAAUUUUUUCUAACGGAUCCUAACGGCAGAAAUAUAUUUGAAAAUAUCAGAAUUUUUACCUAUGGCUAACUAAUUUUUUCUAACGGAUCCUAACGGCAGAGGUAUAUUUAAAAACAUCAGAAUUUUUAUAUAGACAACAUAUAAAAAUUAAACUUUAUAAAAUAUAUUUAUAAUUUACUAUAUUUAUAGGGAUCUGUAUGAAAUUAAUCCUAUAAUUGAGACAUUUGGGUCAGGGUCCUGGACCUGAACCCAAAUCCAAUGCGUUAGCCGGUAAAAUGAUGUUGACCCGAAUGUUUACGAAUGUGCGAUCCAUGUGGGUCAGAUCAAAUGGGUCCCAUCAAAUUGGCCAAUUUGAGAAUUGAGACUUCCAAAACUGUGGGAGGUUGAGCUCCCAAGUCUACAUUUUCCAUAACACAACUUUUACUAAAAAUUUAGGCUAAAUUACAGAAAACCCCCCUAUAAUAACUCACUUUUUCACUUCCCUCCUAACAUUUAAAAAUCUACACUUUGCCCCCAUGUAAAAUAAAAAAUAUGCACUUCACCCCCUACCGUUAGGGUUCCGUUAUAAAAUAAUUUUUUAUGCCAAAAAUACCCCUCCGCCAUUGCUGCUGCCGCCUCCCCGCCCCGCAUUAUGCUCCCGUGGCCGUAAUUCACGGUGCCGGAGGCGAGCACGUCGCUUCGCGCUGCGGGCCUCAGCGGCGCCGCACCGGGUUUCGCCGGGCCUCAACGGCGCCGCGCCGUGCCGUGCUCGUCGUGGAGGCCGCGGUGGGGAUGAUCGGGACGAAGCCCGUGCGGCGGUGCCCGGGUUUGGAAGCGGCGGCGCCCGGGUUUGGAAGUGGCGGCGCCGGCAGAGUUGUGAGCGGCCUUCCUGCUCGACCCGAAGAGAAACUCGCCGGAGUGAGUUUGGCGCCCCGCGAGGCCGGCGGAGGAGAGUGAGGAGAGAAGAUGGAGAAGAAGACGAUAAUGGCGAGGGACAAAAUGGUCAUUUUACACACUGUAACCUCCUUGUGAAUAUUUUUCAUUUUACAGAAGGGCAAAGUGUAGGUUUUUAAAUGUCAGGAGGGAAAAGUGAAAAAGCGGGUUAUUAUAGGAGGGUUUUCUAUAAUUUAACCUAAAAUUUAAGGAGAUGGAGAAUGAUACUUUAAGAUUUUAUUACGAUUACUGACCGUUCCUGGAGCAAGUGGCAAAUAGCUUGGUGGCUCGCACUCAAGAUCUAAGUUCGAAUCUUAGUUGAUUCACAUUUCCAGCUAAGUUUAUUUCUAAAUGAAAUAAACGAAGCGGGUAGCGUGCUACCUAUCUCAAAAAAUAUUUGAUUACGAUUUCAUUGACUGACUGUAUCUAGCAUAAUUAGCUAGCUAAGGGCUAGCUUGAUGAUUGGUAUUUGAGAUUCUAAACGUUAUUGCUUAUGUAAAUUUAUUUCUAAAAAAGUAAGCGACAUGAAAAUCGUACUAGAUUUUUCUCAAAAAAAUAUUAUUAUAAUUUUAGAAUGCAAAAAAUGGAAGCCUCCUUUAGCAUUAUUAUUAUUUGUUUUCUCUUAUUUGUUAUAUAAAAUUUGCGUUGGUAAAUUAAAUUUUUUAUUAUUAUUAACAUCCUUCCAAAAAAAUAGAGAACGGAAAAAAAAAAAAAAGAAAAAGAAAAAGAAAGCUGCUAAAUUUUUUUUCAUUGCCAAAUAAAUAAAUAGCGCCAGCAUUUCAUAAUUUAUUCUCACACUCCAUCGCGUGAAAUUUAUAUUAAAAAAGUUAAAACAAAAGGACAAUAAGAUCAACUGAGCCCUAAAUUGAGAUUAGGCUCUUAAGUUCAGCUAAUUAAAAGUUUACUUAAAAUCGAAUGCAUUACAGUAGAGUGGUUUAGCAAAAGCAAACUGUACAUAAAAACAAUGUAGUAAAAAUAAAUUUACGUAUACAAAUAGAUGCAUAAAUUGUUUUUUCUUUUUCUUUUUUUUCAUGAUCUCCACCACGAUGUGAUCCAAUAUUUAUGAUCCAAAAAUGAAUGGCUCCUUAUUAAUUCCUCUCGCUUAAAUUUCAAUUUCAAAAAUCUCAAAAAUUGAGCACACCACUAGCGUAGUAAGGAGACCACUGCUCCAUCCACGGGCUACGUAGCUGCGUCAGGAACGGAUCCUGCAUCCACUCCAACCCGCUAUACUUGGGAACCUCGAGCUCGGCGAGGCCGGUCGGUCGGACAAGUCGGUCGGCCGGUUGAGCGGCGGAUUCGAUCGUCGACGGCGUCGGUUCCGCCUCCACCUCUUCGCAGUAGUCGGCUGCUGCCCCCACCUCCUUCGUUUCGAACUCGAGGGGGCUCACGAUGUCGUCCACCGGCGGCGGCGUCCAUUUCUGGGAGCUCUCCUGAUCAGAGCACGAAACGGAGUCCAUCGCGGGCGAAGCGGAGAUCUGCGGGGCCUCCGGCGCCAUCGCCGCCCUCUGCUCCAGCUCCUUCAGCGACGUCGCCUUCCGGUAUAUCUUGCACAGCACUAUGUCUUCCUGCAUGCAUCAAUCACCUCUUUUCAGUGAAAAGAUAGACAAAAAACAAAAAAGCAAACUGCGCAGAAUUAGUCCCAAUCGAAUUCAUGACCUCUCGGUGUGAAGAGGCUCAGGAUUGAUCAGAAACCUUUCUACCAAAUGAGUCUUUUUUAGGUGCAUCUUUUGCUAUCAAAUUUCACUCUUACAUGAAUUUUAAAGCGUCCUAAAAUACAAUUCAGCGGCAGAAGAGAGAGAGAGACAUAUCUCAAAAGACCAAUCUGAUAAUUAUUUUUCUUUUUUUUCCUCCAAAGUGAUUUUUGGCUCUCCGAAGUGACUCUGAUAUUAUAUAAACUAUAAGAUCGGAGUGUUGAUACCAUUAUGCAUGAAUCUUAAAGUUUUUUUGAUUUUUACUCUCCAAAGUGGCUCAGAUAUUGCAUUACUCAAAAAAAAAUUAUUUUCUAUGAAAGGAUCGAUAAACCCUAGCCCAGAAUAUAUUAAUCCAAAUUAUUAGCACUAAAACCGCAGCUAUAAAUAUGUAAGGCUCUCGUCUUAUUACGUGAUAUGGGAUUAUUGGGAUGUUACAGAAUAAUUACUUGGGGAGGGGCUGCUGCAGAAGCGGCAGCGCCAUUAGCGUCGGGGAGGCGGUACUCGUUCAUGACCCAGUCGGUCUUGGUGCCGCGGGGCGCGCGGCCCUGGUAGUAGACGAGGGUCUUCUUGAGGCCGAUGAGGCGCUUGGGGUCGGCGGCGCUGCGGAUGGGCCGGUCAGAGCCGGUGGCCUUCCAGAAGCCCCGCUCCGUCGUCCGGCUCGGCCGCCCCCCGUUCGCCUGCCGCCGGUCCCUCGGCACGUAGAAGUACCACUCUCUCUCGCCUAUCUUUGCUAGACCUGCACAAAAUCUCUACAUUAUAACAAACUUCACGAUAUAAUUAAUAACAAAAUUAAUAUUUUCCUUUAAUAAUAUUUAACUUUAAAUAUUAUCUUCGGUCUUACCGUUUCGACCAAAAAACAACAACAACAACAACAACAACAAAACUUAAGUUGUAUCACUUAUUUUAGAAUUUUGCAUUGAUCAUUCCAAAAUGUACACUUUGAAGUUACGUGAAUACAAUUUAAGUUUUCGGAGAACAAUGAUUUUGAAGUUACAUGAAUACAAUUUAAGUUUUUGGAGAACAAUAAUUAUUCGAACAAGAGAUUUGGAGCGGGAAAAGGAGUUACUUGGGAGGUCCCAGGGGUUGUAGCGGUAGAGAUGGACGGUGGCGAUGACGUCGAAGUGGAGCUUCUUCCCGUUGACGGCGCGGCGGAGGUAGAAGUCGAGGAGCUCCUCCUCCGUCGGAUGGAACCUGAAUCCCGGGAGCUCCACUUCCGCUGUUCCACUACUCCGCUGCAUCUCCAUUUCAGUUACUUUUUUCCUUUUGGGUGUAAGUUACCUCUUCUUGUUUCUCCUUCUUGUAUGUUGUAGCUGUAGUUAUUUAUACUCUUUUUUUCUUAAUCUCGUAUAGUCGUUGUUCACACUUCUCUCCUGGGGCUAUGCUGGUUCAGGAGGGAGGUAAAUGAGAGGUGGAUUAUAUAGAGGAGAAAUCGUGGGGCCCACCAGAGCUUCCCAAUUCCAUUUUGAUCGGGGACUAUUUUUCCUGCACCUGAUCGAUGUGUCAAUAUAUUUCAUGCACCAUGACUCUUAAGAGCCGUUUGGUUCAAAAUUUAUAAUAUUUCUAAAAUUUCUAAAAUAUUAUACAUUUUAUACUUGAUAUGACAAGUAUUUUACUAAUUUACCAAGUCAUUUGAACCGAGAGAUUGCUAAUAACAAAUAUAUAAUAAUGAUUCUUACCAAGCAUAAAAAUAAAAACAACUUAUAAUUCAUAAUAAUCUCAUAUUUCUACUAUCUAAAAAUCUACAAUAAUUUUAUUACUUCACUAUUACAUUUUAUAACAAUCCAACAUGGAUUGAAUUGUGUAACGAUUUGAAUAUAUUCAGUGAAAAAUAUGAGUAUGUGUCAAAAUAUUAAAAAAUGUGAACCAAAUUAGCUAUAAGUUACUUUAAUAAAAAAAAUCUUUGCAUUAAAAAUUAAUCCUGUUUGAUAUUAUUGUGCCAAAAAAAAAAAGCAAAAGUAUAUAAAGAUAUGUUUUUUUAUUUUUUUUACUUGGUGGAAUAGUAAAAAUUAUAAUGUUUGUGAUAUUUGCAAUAUAUGUAUCUUUGACAAAAAUAAACGAAUUAUUUUUCGUCCAUUACACUUUCACACUAUAGAUAACGCAUCUUCUCCAAAAUAUUAUAAUCUUUUAUAAGAAAUAUUUUUUCCACAAUUAAAAUUUUAAAUUAAAAUUAUGUAAAAUAAACGUUUGUAAAGAAAGCUAUAAAGUCUCGUAGGACUCGAACUCACAUUGAUUUCCUAAUCUAACAUCAUAUUAAAUUAGAUGAAACGAAAUAUUUUAAUAUUCAUGAUAAAAGAUAUUUACACCAAUAUUAAGUAUGGUACAUGAGAUGUGCGGAUACACCCGGUGCAGGCAUAAUUUCUCCUAGCGAUCAGGUUGAUAUUUUUUUUUUAUUUAAUUUAUAUUAUAUAUUUUUUCGAGUAAAGUGAUCAGGAGGACUUGAACUUUUACCAAACGAGAAAAAGACAUGUAAUUAAAGGAGACGCGUCAUUGAAUUGAUUAGCACUAAUUAAUCAGGGGUUUGUUACAAGGUGGUUUCCUUAAACUUAGUUUAAUAUGCCACGUCGCAUUAUUAUGUUUACCUCUUCAUACGUAAUCAUUUGCAAGUGUAAAUGUGAGGUAAUUAAUUAUUUUUCUAUAGGAAUAUUAAUAAUUAAGAUUAGAUAUAUCAUUAGAUAAAAUAUUAAUUAGGAGAGCCAUAUCAUCAAAUGGAUAGGAUUGCCGUUGCUCUCGAAGAAACACGGGUGGAAUCAUCUUAUAAAUUAAUUUUUUAACUGUAAUAAAUUAAUUAACUUGUUAAGUAACUAACCAUUUUUGACCCACAUAAUUAAGAGAUUAUUAAUAAUUGAGUUUUCUAGAAUUGUAGGACUCUUACACUCACCAGUCAUUGGUCUUUUAAGAAAUUUGUUAACCACAAACACUCAAUCCUUGAAUUACAAUUUUUUUUUUCAUUUCUUUUAUUAAUUGUGUUAAUCUAUGUUUAGUUAUGUGGACUUUUAAUCAAGGGGGUGUUUCAUUCCCAGGAAAAUAUUUCUGAAAAUAACUUUUGGUUUAAAAAACUGACCGUCCCUAACGCAAGUGACAAAGGAUUUGGUGGCUGGUAUCCGAGACCCAAGUUCGAAUCCUAAUUGAUUCACAUUUUCAAUUAAGUUUAUUUCUAAAUGAAAUAAACGAAGUAGAUAGCAUUCUACCUUUCUCUCUAAAAAAAAAAGAGCUUUUGGUUUGGAAAAGUAUUUUUCAUCUAUUUCGUUCUGAUCAGAACAUGUAGUCUCCCUGAAAAAAAAAAAUCUAAAAUCUGUAGAAAAGUGUUGUAAACGAAUUUUUUUUCUCAUGAAAACUACUUUUCUAGAAAAUAAUUGUUCUGUUCACAAUUUUCCGAGGAAUCAAACACCCCCUAAGCAUUAAAUAAAAAAAGAAGGUUAUGUCUUUUCUAAGAACCUCGAGUGAUAUUUCUAAUCAAAUUGUGGGAUUUUGAUCAUCUUCUAUAGUUUCUAGCUAGAUUCUUUAAUCGAUUGUCUCAUAUAUAUUUGAUUCCUAUUGUUGUUAAAUUUUACUUAUUUUGUCUAUUUACUUUCCUAAUUGUCGGGUAAAAAAAGGCUAUAAGUUACCCAAAUAAAUAAUUGUAGAGAAAGUUAAAAUAUAGCUAAAAAUUCUCUAUAAUUAGGAGAAAUAUUGUUUUGUAAUACUACAAUCCCAGAUUGGUAAAUUCAAUUAUAAUCGUGUGAGUAACGAAGAAUUUUAUGAAGAAUAAUUUUGAUAUUUUGAAAUAUGAUAAACUUAAUUGAAGUAAUAAAGUAAUUAAGUCAACUAUUUAACACGUAAUCUUUCAAUUAAGUCUCGUUUGUUGUCCAUUUUAAUUUUAUUAACACCAUUUUCCUGUAGUAGGAUGGUAAAAGAUAGCUAGCUAUGUUAAACUCAUUGAAAGUUGAAACUAGUGUGAGAAAAUGCUAAAUGGUGAUGUUGACUUUGACCUAAAAGAGAUUGCUUGGAAUAAAGAGAGAAUAAGAGGAAUAAGACCGUUGAAUAAAACAAUUGGUGGGACCAGAUAAUACGAAGGAGAUAUUCACCACUUAUUAUUCUCCAUUUACUGAGUCAAUAUAUAUAUAUGUAGUGUUCUCCUGCAUUGUUCCAAAAUUAGGGUGCUGUUUUUUUUUUGGCCAUAUAUGUGUUUGUUGAACAAGUCAUGUUCACCUAAAUAUUCCUGUGCUAGAUGUGUUGAAGUGUUCCAACAUGAUGUUUUCUUGUGAGGAUAUGAUAUCAGAUCGUGCUGGUUUUAAUCAGUGUGAAUACCUUAAGGUUUCAUUUGGUUCGGGUAUAAGCAAGAACUAGUUAUACCAGGGAUAGGUACAAGGAUGAAUUUUUAUAAGAACAAUGGUAUUUUUUUGUUUGUAUGAAAAUAUGAGUAUAAGCUGGAACUAGAAAAAUUACGUUUGGAUGGUUAUUGGGAAUAAGAGGAAUAGUUAUUAGUUAUAAAUAGAAAAUAAUGAUAUUAUCCCUAUAAUUGAAUUUUAAUUUUUAAAUUUUAAACUUAUAAAUUUAAAUUGAAAAUUAAAAAUUGUAACUUUUAAAUUUUAAAAUUUGAGAUUAAAAUUUAAAAUUAUAAUUUUAAAUAUCAAAUUUUAAAUUUAAGACCAAAUUUAAAUUUCAAAGAUAUAAAAUAGCAAAUUAAAAUUUCAAAACUAAAAAUAUCAAAUUUAAAAUUUAAACUUUAAAAUUUUAAAUUAUAAAUUUAAAUUAUAAAUUUUUAAAUUUAAAUUUAAAAUAAAAAUAUCUCUCUCUCUCUACCCAGGGGUGGGAACAACUUAUUCCCACCCCUUGUUCCAUACCUGAGUGGGAACAAGUUGUUCCCACCCCCCAAAUCUUUGUUUGGGUAUAAAGGGGGGAUAACCCUCUUAUCUCCCUCUUUAUACCCGAGCCAAACACCACUUAAGAAGUCCGAAAUUGACAUGAUAUGAUAUGAUACAAAAUAAAAAGUAAAUUACUUUGAAUAUUUUAGGUCGUAUUGUAAAUAUUUUAGACAAUAUCCAGAGUAAUUCAACUAAUACGAUUAUCAAACAUGAACACAAGUUCAUGAACUUGAAUUGCUUAGGUCGUAUUGUAAAUAUUUUUGCUUAUCGGAUUUUUCUUCUUUUUGUUGUCAAUAUCAGUUCACGUGAAAUAGUUUACAUUAUAUAUAUUCGCCGUGCAGGAAUAUGUAUAUAAGGUUAUGUCUUAACAACUGCUUAUCAAAUCGAUUUGCUGGGUAACAUUUAGUUAAAAAUCCGGUUUCUUAGAUGAGUACAAUGAGAUGGAGAAAAGGAUGAGAUCAUGAAUAGGACUCAGCCCAAUUGCCAGGUCUAGAUGAAGGCCAUGGCCUAAUAAAAAAAAAGAAAUUGUUGCCUAGACCUCCUCCAUUUCAUACAUUUUUUAAUCUUCAUAGCUUUAUAAGUAAAUAACAUCAAAAUUAGUAAACUUUACUAAGUGAUGAAGAUUUUAAUAACUGCAGGAAUGAAAGAUAAAUUGGCUGGGAGGUCUAAAAUGAUACAGUGGACCAGUGUGACAAUAAAUUUGAGUCAAGGUCAAUCCUACAUAAGAGAGAAAGAUUAGAAAGUUCUAAAAAGAAAAAAAAAAAAAAAUCAAACUGAAUUGAGUCAUGCAUAGCUGUGGCUGUUUAAUUCCGCUAAUACGAAUAAGGAAUCUGGACUUUUUUUUCGCUACCUGAGAAGAUGUGGUGGUCACACAUCUGCUGCCUAAAUGAUGACCCCAACCUAGGAACUGCAGGAAUUCAAAUUAACACACUUGCCAUAAUUUCGUAUGCUAUUUUUAUGAUCGAACCUCGAACCUGAAGGACGAUAAUUUGCGAGUAAUAGUGACCGACUGAAGAAAGUGGUUGUUCAUAAUCUCUGACCGUAGAAUGAUUCGGCUCCAUUAACUGUAGUCGUAGCAGUCAAACGUGCACACUUUGAUGUUCUGGAGGAUUCGAAAAAUUUGUAAGUGCUUAAAAGCUAGGAUUAUAAAUGACAGUGAAACUAUCGAUUACUUUCAAAGCUUAGGUUUCUCUAGAAUGAUAUUUUUUUCUUAAACUUUAAUUAUAUCUUCAGUAAUUCUUUUAUGACCGGACUCAAGACCUAUUGAUAAGUCCAAAGUGAGAAAAAACUUCGCCACUACCAAAUAGAGGAUGCGAAUUAAUGUGAGCCAUCAUAUCGUAGUUAAUUUGCUUUCAAAUUAAACGACAGAAAAUUAAACAAAGUUAGGAGUCUUGGGGAAAUUCGAAUUUAGGAUCUUCUACACUGAUUUUGGCGAAUAGUGCUUUUUUGAUAAUAAUGGUAGGAGCAGCAAAUAUGAAAGACCGAUGCUCCUCCGGUGACAAUUCAAACCACCAUUUUAUUGCAUCUAAAGAAGAAGAAUUUUGAAUAUUCCAUACUUUCUAAGCUACUAAAUCUGGUUGGACUUUGAUCACCAUGCUUUCAAACUUAAGCCCAAAAAAAGAGUUUGUUUCAUGAGUAACUUCUUUUGAUCAGUUGUCCAAGUCUUUGGCUAUUUCUACCAACUCAUAACAAUGUCUGUGCUUUCUUUGUUUGUUUGGCCAAUGGCCAGUACUGGAUUUGUCUCCGUUGCCGAAUUUCUAAGCUGCAGACCUUGACUGGUGGAGUCAGCCUCAAGAUGCUGGACCAUACUGAAGUCUUCCCACUAGAACAAUAAGCAAGUCCUUAUAGUGGAAGACAAAACUACUUGGACUUCAACAGUUACCAGAUGAUCAUAGCUUGUGUGUCGCAGAAUCUAUUAUUAUUACUUUUCUCUCUCUCUCAAAAAAAAAAAAGAUUACGUAAAUUAUACGAUUGCAGAUAUAUUUUCAUGCUACUUCUAUAUGCCGAGAGAGAGUUAUGAAUGCGAUCGAAAACUAAGCUGUUAGAUCUGAAUCCAUAUUUAGACAAUCUACAAAUUGUCGAGAGCACGAAUACGACCCGCCAAUUCGAGUUGCCAAUCUAGUCCUUGAGACAUCGCAGGUCAUUAAACCCUUGGCUCACAGUGUUUGGUUAGUUAAUUCUUUGUGGACUGGGUUAAGUGGAACCUCCCAUCAGCAACGGGCCAGAGUUGCGCAAUUUUGAGCUCAUCUUUUUAUACAUGCAAGCAGGAAGUGGGGACCCAUUGCUUCUGGAAGCCACCUUAAUAAAGACUUUGGCUUCUCUAGCUGUUGUCAGCAGAGAGUCUGUCCAUUUCGGGAGGAAUUCUACACUGUCACACUUACACCACGUCAUCAAUAACAAACCAAUCAUAUUUUUUCUUUUCAAACAAAAGUACAAUAAAAUUAUUUUUUUAUAAUCAUGAUGGGUAGGGAUGCAAACGGAUCCGGGUUGGCGGAGCUCCCGCCCCGAUCCGUCCCGACGAGAGCAAUAAAUGGGAGAAAAUUAAUAAACGGAUUCGGGGCAGAAAACAAGGUAAAUUUAACAAUCCCAGAAUGAUUCGGGGCAAGAAACGGGAGAAAUUUUGACCCGCCCCGAAUCCGCUCCGAAAAUUAUUUAUAUUUUAAUGCCUAAAAAAAUAAUGUAUUUACAAAAAAAUUUAAAAUAAAAAUAAGUUAGUACUCGCAUUUCUAAUGUAUUUGAAAUUUUUGAAUUUUAUUUUGAAUUGUAAUUGAUAGUUUUGAUUUUUAUAAUUAAUAUUAUUAAAUUAUAUAUAUAAUAUUAUUAAAAAUUAUUAUUUUAUAUUUUACAAAAUAUUAAUAACAUUAUAAUUUUAUAAAAAAUAUUAGUUGGCGGGGCGGAUUUGGGGAGGCAGGUUAAGAAGCGAGGUGGAUUAUGGGAUGUAUGUUUUAACCCGUCACGGAUUUGGAGCGGGAGGAGGGGCAGGGCUCCCCCUCCAGAUCCGCCUCAUUUGCAUCCCUAAUGAUGGGACAUGUAUAUAUCUAAACGGAGAGAUUUGAUUAAUUUGUUACGCUAUGUCACCAAUAUACCCGGUGUAUUCUAGAUUUUUUUCCAUUUCGGCCUUGGGAAGUAUUUAGCAAUAAAAAAUAUUUGCGACUGACUUUUGCUAUGUUAGAAAGCAAGGACAUAAUUUUGAAGCUUAAAAGCAAAAAUAAAGCUUCCGAUAAUACUUCUCAAAUUUUAUAAAAAAAAAUUUUAAGAUGAAUGUAUGUAUAUCUUACACCUCUUUUAGAAUAUAUUGGUAGCAUUGCUUAAAUGCAAAAGCAAAAAUAUAACUCGCACUUUUGGCCUUGAAACUAUAAAAUGGUGAUAUUUCAGCUCUCAAACUUUAUUUUAUUAUAAUUUCUGACACGAACAUCUAAAAUUAUUGCAAUUAAGUCUCUUAGACUAAUUUAGUUGGUUAGAUGCUGAUAUGCUGAUGUGAUAUCUUAAUUACUGCUACACCAUUAAUUACAAAAUUGAUAUAUUAUCGCAACAUCAGCAACAAAUCAACAUUUAGUUAAUUAAAUUGGCCUAUAAGGCUUAAAUGUAAUAGUCUAGAAAGUUUGAGCUAGAUGUUAUAAUAAAUUAAGGCUUGAGAGCCAAUCUGUAAUACUGGUCACAGUUUGAGGACCAGAAGUGAAAUUUAACCUAAGCAAAACUAGACACAAACAUACAUUAAUGUCCCGACGGGGCCGGUAGGGUCCGGUCCGGUCCGGUCCUUGCCUAACUUUUUUAGUUUCAGGCCCGGCCAAUUUAGAGCGGAGCCUAAGCGAGAUCAGCCCAUGUAAGGCCUAGUUGUGAAUUCAAGCCCAUUAUCUGAAUUCAAGCCUAUUAACAACCGAGCCCUUUUAUGAAUUCUAAAACCCUACUCAGUCUCGCCUCUCUCCAUUUCCAGCAAGUAUUCGAGGAAGGAGAAGAAGAAGAAGAAGAAGAAGAAGAAACUGAAACCCUAAUACAAAGAAUCGCCCCGCCAUGGGGAAGCUCCCUCCUUCCAUGCGCUCCGCCAAAGUCCCCCUCGCCCUCCUCAAACCCUCCCCUUCUUCUUCAUUUCCUUCUCCUUCUACUUCUCCUGCUCCUCCGCACUCCAAACCCUACCCCUUCUUCGCCUCCAAAACCCUCACCAAGCCCAAGAGCAAGAAGGAGAAGAAGAAGCAAACCCUAACCCUAACCCCAACCCGGAGGGGGAGAGCGCGCCUUGGGUGGAGGUACACCUCUUCCGGCGAGGGAGAGGCCCCGUCGGCUUCUUCCUCCACCUCUCCCCCUCCUUCUCCCCCGACCGCUCCACCUUCCUCCUCCUCCUCUCCCACUCCGCCGCCGCCGCUGAAGACGACAACGCAGACGACGCCGCGCUGAGCCACGUCGUGCGCGUCCUCGACCUCAUGGCGGGCGCCGGGCACGCGCCGGACGNCCGCCGCCGUCGACCUCGCCGUGCGCGCGCUCUGCUCCGCCGGCCGCCUCGACGACGCCUGCGGCCUCGUCCGCCACGCGGCGCUCCGUACCGAUCCCCGCCCCGCCCCGCCCGACGCCUACACGUACAACUUCCUCGUCCGCCGCCUCGCCCGCUCCCGCCCCGUCUCCGCUGUCUACGCAUUCAUCGAGGAGCUCCGCCGCGACGCGGGGCUUCGCCCCGACCUCGUCACUUAUACCAUCCUCAUUGAUGCGGUGUGCCGCAGCGGCAACCUCCGAGAGGCGGUGAGGCUCCUCGGAGUCCUCACGGACGCUGGGUUCAAGCCCGAUUGCUACCUUUACAACACUAUCAUGAAGGGGUAUUGCAUGAUGGAUGAGUGCGGCGGCGUGAUGGAGGUGUAUAACCGGAUGCGGGACGAGGGCGUGGAGCCCGACCUGGUAAUGCAAAAAAAAGCUCCUUUUCCUCAAAUACUUAAAGCUGUUCUAUUCAUGAUGGUCCAAUAUGUGAGUUUAAAAUAAGCUGUAGAAAAUUAAAUGGCCUCCACCUGGUCCGAUACCAUGUAAACCAUACGAAUUUAUCAAAAAGUUGAAGCUGCUAGAGAACCUUGUUUGUAAUUAAUCGGUUAUACUCGACAGGUAACGUAUAAUACUCUUGUGUAUGGGCUUUCCAAGGCUGGGAUGAUCAGCCAGGCGAGGAAGUUCUUGAGCGUGAUGGCCGAGAUGGGGCAUUUCCCCGACACGAUCACGUACACAGCACUGAUGAGCGGGAUGUGCAGGAAGGGUGAUGCAUCGGGGGCGUUAGGGUUGCUGGGGGAGAUGGAGCAGAAGGGGUGCGAGCCGAACGAGUGCACGUAUAAUACGUUGCUGAUGGGGCUGUGCAAGGCCAAGUGUUUGGAUAAAGCGGUGGAGCUGUAUGGGAUGAUGACAGCUGGCGGUAUGAAAGUGGAUUCGCCGGCUUAUGCGACAUUUCUGAGGGCGCUCUGUCGGGCGAACAGGGUCGCUGAGGCUUAUGAGGUGUUUGAUUAUGCAGUGGGCAGCAAGAGCUUGAUGGACGUGGCUGCUUAUAUGGCUUUGGAGAACUCGCUCAAAUGGCUGAGAAAGGGAAGAGUAUAAUCAAUUCGUUGGUAAGUUUGGCAUUUAUAAACCCCCGGAUUUAUGUUGAAAUUUACUUUUUGCUAGUAUUUCAUGAGAAAUGAAAGUAUGAAGUUGAGCCUAGAUGCUAUGUAGAUGAGAGAAAGCGAAAAGUUCUGCAUAAGUAUAUUACCUGUCGCUGAAAUUCUUGCAGGUUACAAAAAUUUAGUGGAAAUUAAGAUAAAAUAAGUGAACACGGAGAUAGGCAAAGAGAUCCCUAGCUUGGGGGGUAAAAAGGAAAUAUAUAUUUGCUUUUGAAACUUCAAUGCGAGAUUGCAUGCGUGAGAUUGCAUGUGCGAGUAAGUGAUUGUUUACUCUCUGUUGAUUGCCACUCUUAAGGUUGCUAAAAUGAACUCUGGUGGAGGGCGGCCACCAUUUAUAUCAGUAGUUCAUCAAUUGUUAUUUUAUUGAUUUAGAAAUAUUCAAAUCAAAAUAUUCCGUCAGAUCUCUCAUGAAGUAACAUUAGAAUAACUGGUGAGCUUACUUGAGGAAUAAUUGCCUUUCCUAUUUUUACUAUUUAUCUCUGCUUGAGGAAUAAUUGCCUUUCCUAUUUUUACUAUUUAUCUCUGCUGUCUUUUCCAUUGACUAAUUGAAAAGCUUGAUUCGAAAUUGAUGGUAAGUUUCGUUUGUAGUCAAUGGAUAAUUUGUUGGGAUUAUAACUCUGAAAAAGAAAGAUCUCCAUUAUUUUCUUUCAACUCGGGAGAAAUAAUAACUAAUUCAAACAACUGCUUCAAAUACCGUAUUGGGACGGAAGCAAGUACGUAGAAAGGAUGUUGAAGAUGUACUAAAUCAUCUAAAAUCCAGCUCAAGAAUUGUUAAAAUAACAAGGUGUUUUUCUGCAUGCUUUUCUCAAAUGAAGGUGUUCUGUGCAAUGUAAAUCUUAUUUAGCUUAUCCAGUUUCUGUCUGUAAAGGAUUCUGAUUGUCAGGGCCUCUUCUGGAUUUUUAUUGCAUCUUUGUAUUGCAAAAUUUAUGCAUUGAGGGCUUUUUCCGAAAAUCAACAGCAUGUAUAUUCUUAUAAUGCCGAAAUUUCUUUCAUUCAUUCCCUUCUUUGAGAUGUGAAAGUAUAAUUGUCGACAUGGUUAUAUGAAGAAAGAGGCCUCAUGCAGCUCAUGCUCUGACUUGAUUAGUUUGUGGUGUAAAGCAUUUUAUGUUGAAGGCGGACAAUUUUUGUGUCUGAAAUCAGGCUGUAUUUAGAUUCGGCUUAUAUUAUGACUUAACUGCUUUAAUCGUUGAGAUAAUAUUUUGAAAGAUGUAAAUGUGAUAUUCUUUUUUCCUUUUUCUGUGGUAGUCGAAUGUCAAGGUGGAGGUGUGAAGCAAGCCUAAAGGCGGGCAGAAUCAUUUUCAUGCAUAGUCAGCAAACUGGUAAUGAGCUAUUACUGGAGGUAUUUUUUUUUUAAAUUUCGGGAAGAGAGCUUAUUUAUGGUGUUCUUUACUGAAUAGCUUCUUAGUUAUCAGGUAUUCUGUGCACAAACAUGUGUUUAAUUGUAACAGCAGGUUAUUAAUGGAUUAUGGCCAUGGUCAUGUUCCCCGCAUGUAAUCGAGCAGUUUCUGGGGCAGCUACACAUAUUAGCAGCCUCAACAUGCUCCCACCAAUUGAACCUUCAAAAAUAAUGGCAAAACUAAUGGCAAAGUCACUGAUAGCAGCCUCAACAUGCUCUUUCUUACCAAUUGAACCUUCAAAAGUAAAGGCAAACUUUGUACUGAAGUUGAGCAGCUGAAUAUUUGUUGAUUUGUUAAAGCGAACAAUUCUUUGUAAGAACAAGUGAAUUAUUCUGCCAAACAAGAAAAAAUAUAUCUUCUGCUGUUCCUGUAAGAAUACUAAUGUUUGUAUUUGUAACCUACACUAAUGUUUUAUUUUCAAGUUCUUUUUUCUCUUUGUUCGUAAACUACACUAAUGUUCUAUUUGUAACCAAAGUGAGGAUGCAAGGAUGCACAUUCGUAUAUGUAUACAUGUAUGUAUUAAUUAAUAAUGACAUAUGUAUGCAUGUUGAUAUGUAUAUGGUUAUGUAUAUGCGAACAUUUAUUUUGAAGUUUUGAGCGGUUGGUUUGAAAUUGCCCCAAAUAUGUAAUCUAAGCUAUCUCUUGAAAUAGUGAGCCAAUCCAAAAAAAGAAAAAAAAAACUUCUUAAAUUAGUUAAACUAAUAUUUAAUACUUUUCUUUAUAUUUUAAUUUAGUAGUCAAAAGUUUGUACAUCGCAAAGUUACUGGCUAAUUUCUCUUUAUUUGGGUCUUUUGGGUGGAAAUAAAACUAGUUGAGUAUUUGUUGUUAUUAACUAGUUGGGUAAAAUAAAACUUUGGUGAUGAUUAUAAUCUAAGUGAGACAUCAACUCAAGGAAGAAAUCAAGAUGUGAUCCAUUGCAAGUUUCAACACCAAGCACCCAAUAGCAUUUUAAAGAGCUCGAGAUCUCAGCCUUGGAUAAUUGUUUAUUUAUUAUAAUACUCUCACCAAACCAUAAUUAUCUAGGGUGAAUUAUAAUGUCUCUGCUCUCAAUGCACUACUAACUUGUGAGACCCCCGUGUGGUGGAUCUUGUUACCUAUAAUAGUAGCAUGACAACCUUUAAAACACUUCAUCUCUUUGUACUAUUGAGUUGUUAAAUAUGAAACAUGUUUGCAGCAAUGGAUGCAAGAACCAUGCAAAAGAAGAUUUAAAUGGGUGUCACAUGGGAGAUUUGUUUGAUGAUGUUCUUGGUGCCUCCUCAUCCAACUACAUUAUGGUUUUGGUUUAUAAGCAAAGGGGGAGUUGAAUGAUCAAUCUUAUCACUCUCACAAGAAGAAGUCCUUGAUAACUUAGGAGCAAAAAUGGCUUGUCAUUUUCGAUCCAUAAGUAUGCCUACGAAACGCUCCGCCGUGCUGAAGUUUGAAGAAGUGCCGCAGAAGCUAAGAGCUUCUGUGGAUUCUUCCUCCUCAACCGCGCAGAUGAUGUUAGAUAGGGUGAGAGGGAUCGGAUAUUUGUAUGAAUGCAUCGAGGAGCUUCUUUCUUUGCCGAGCAACCAAAAUGGUCUAUCGCACCCGCAACAAUGGAAAUGGGUGGAAGGAGAACUGGAAGAGUCUGUUGCAUUGCUCGACACCUGCAGUGCAAUGCGGGAGAACUUGGCUGCAAUGAAAGCGCACAUUCAGGAACUCAAAUUCACGAUUCGAAAAGGGAAAAAUGCAGCCAUUGAAAGCAAAAUGCAAGGUUACAUUCGAUUGGUGAAAAAGGCAAAUAAGGAUAUCAAAAAGCAGAUGCUUAACCAGUGUGGGGCUAUUUCUCACAUGAAAAAGCAUCAAGAUCUAUCAAACACAAUCAGGCUAUUGAUCGAAGCGAGAGAGGUCGCUGUCUCUUUCCUCCAAACUGCUAUGUCAUUCUUGUCAAAAGAAAUGGUCAAGCCCAAGACUAGCAAGUGGCCUCUUCUCUCGAAGACAUUUCAAAAGAGGAAAGUAGCAUGCGAUGAGGAGCGAGAGGAUGAAACCUUAUUCUUUGCUUCUUUUUCUAGCAAGGAUUUCAAUGAACAGAAUGCUCUGACGGCGCAAAACCAAUUGCAGACAUUAGAGGCCAUCAUUGAAGGUCUAGAGGUUGGACUAGAAUGCCUAUUUAGACAACUGAUCCAUUGCAGGGUUUCGCUUCUUAAUAUUUGUAGCUUAUGAAAGAUUUCUUCAUACCUUGAUCCUCUAGCACUUAUUAAUUGGCAUCCGCAUUUUAGAGGAUUCGCUGAUUGGAAAUCUUUCGUCCUUGUACACAAGUAUACAACUCAAAUGAUGUAUAGCAUGCAGUUGCAAAUUGAGAUUGCGUGUCUAGUCCUUUUUGAUCACAAGAUCUAUGCUUUUGCUAAGUUUUUAGUUCUCGUCUUUUGCUUGUACUGGUUUUGAACGACUUUGUUGCUUCCACAGAAGAUUUGCAUGAUGUGUAAAUUAGUUUCAGCUACUCAGAACAUUUACACACAUCUGGGUGGAAAAGGACAUAAUUAUGAAUAUUGAUUAAUAAGGCUUAGUGUAUCUGGAUGAAUGUUUUCAGAGUAAUUUCUUAUGCAUCAGUCAAUACUCGCAAAAAUUUGACUUGAAGAUCGAUAAGCAGGUAAGAUUGUUAGCGCUUAGUACUCUCUGAUCCUCAACUAAGAUUUCUUUUUUCUGAUUGUUUGGUUCUUCCUGUACUAACUACUAACCAACUAGUACUGAAAAUCAGAAAUAAAAUUUCUCUACAUCUGUUGAUGCUCCUGGCACAUGAAAAGUGAUGACAAAAGAAUGACGCAUCAUUCACCAUUUCUUCAAAUGCUUUUCUACUUAGCAACCAUCAAAUGAGAUUGAAUGUAGAGUAAAAGAGACAAUUUCAAUUUAUGAUCUAGCGGCGAUUGUUUUUGUUUCGUUUGCUUUGUUGUUACCCAAAUAGGGUUUAUCCCUGUUUACUCAAAAAAAAAAAAAAAAUUAUGAUCUAGCUGUCAAGCUACUCUAUGCUGGGAAUUUGCCAAGUGUUUAAGGUAGAGCGGAAAGGAAAAAUUUAAACUUAGCAACUUAAGAACCGAAAAAUGAUUACAGUUUGUUGGGAACAAUACACCCUUCUAUGUGUUCUUUGGAGAGCUUUAAAGAUCCAACUCUUCUUUACACUCAACGAGUUGCUUCACUUGCUAUGAUCUGUAUAUGAAACUGCCACAAUUUGUCUUACAGGUUUGUCGAAAUGAGUGCCUCAGGUAAGCAAGAGAGAAAUAUGUAAACUUUGUAAAUAAGCAAGCAGACAGAUAUCAGUGAGUGAAACAACCUUCAGUCUCAUUAUGUAACCAUUUAAGACAUCUAAUGGUUGUUAAAAGACAAUAAAUUUAGAUAAAUGUCUUUGUAUUGUCGAAUCAGAUAUACAAUUUGUUGGAUGUUUUGUACAUGAUGCUAUAUAGACUCUAUACAAUAAAAAAUGUUGAAAUUGAUAAACCGAUCCUCUGCUAAUGGAUCGUUAUCAUGAGGGUUAGGGAUCGGAGGUUGAGAAUUUAUGAGCUGAGGAUAUUUAGAAGCGAAACUCUGCUCUGGAUCAGUCGCCUGAACAAGCUUUCUAGUCCGUUUUCUAGACCUUCAAUGGUGAGCGCCAACAUCUGCAGCUGUCUUUGUAGCUUCACAAUCUUCUCCUUGCUAUCUUUGCAGGAAUAUGAAGAAAAGAGCAAUACAUCGUCGUUCUCUUCUUCGCAUUCCACUUUCUUCUUGUGCAACGUCCUCGUGACGACAGACCACUUGCUCGUCCUCGGUUUCACCAUUCUUGUAGACAAGAAUGAGAAAACAGAUUGGAGGAAAGCGAACGUGAUCUCCCUCGCCUCCAUCGAAAUCCGCAUUGCGUUUAAUAGAUCUCGAUCUUCUUUGAUGGCUGCAACUACACAUUUCUUUCCCAUCUGCCUCUUGGUAUCCUUGUUUGUGUUCUUACUCAAGCGAACGAAAGAUCGCACUUUGCUUUCAAUAGCCGCAUCAUCUCCUCUCCGAACGGCGGAUCGAACAUCUUGAACAUGCUCCUUCAUAGCAGCCAAGCUAUCCGUCAUUGCGGAGCAAAGGUCCAACAGUCUGACAGAGCCUUCCAGCUCCGCUUCUACCAAUUCCUUCCGGUUAGGAUGGGAGAGAGCAUUUCGGUUGCUUGGUAAGCAGAAAACCUCGUCGAUUCGGUCGUACAAAUCUCUGAGCCCGUUCAAGCCAUCGCACAUCAUCUGCGCAGUUGCGGAGGAUGAAGCCGCACAAGCCCGGAGCUUGUCGAGCUCUUCUUCGCACUUGAUCUCCGCAGAAUGAGAUUUCGAGGGCAAGCUGAUGGACCGAAGAUGGCAAGCCAUUCUUUUUCUGUUGGUUGUAGAAGAUUCUUCUAAUCUCUAUGAAAUUUGCUUGGCCUGAUCCUCGGCCUCGCCUUCUACUUAUAUACCGCAGUCUCAAAUUUUCUCAAGGAGACAACGCGAAUCUCAGCCACCCGAGUGCUCAUGUGCUGCCAAUGUGGAUGCUAGUAUUCAAGAUGGUUCUUGCAGCCAUUUCCACAAACAUUUGAUGGACAAUUUUCUUUAUUAUUAUCAUCUCUCGUGCGAUUUCGGAUGCCCGACUUCCUAAUUCAUAUGCCAGCUAUGUCAUGCUUCAAUCUCCAACAGCAGACACCCACCGCGCGAAUUAUACAACGGCGGUUAGAAGGAAUCAUUACGUAGUCGGCGCGAUUUCGCGACGCGAAUAAUGAACCAGAACCUGGGGAUUGGUUUGAUGGGGGAGACACCGAGAAUCUCGGCCAGUGGAGCUAUCAUGUGUUGUUAGCGUGGGUUUUGGUGCUGUUUGUGAUUCUUGUAGACAUUACCACAAACAGCUUGUGCUCGUAGUUGGAGACCACACAACUCAUACAAGGUAACGAGAAUCUUAAUUUGCUUCAGGUCCAAGCCAAGGCCUAUUAAAGCAAAAAAAGAUGAUUUUUUUUUUUUAUAUAAAAAAAACACUCCAAGAAAUGCGUUGACCUCUACAUACCAACAUUUCAUUACAUGGGUUGGUAGUUAAACGGUUUGUACUUCCGAGAUUAACAAAAAGGGUAAAAAUGUAUGCAGAAUAGUUCAACUGCAGGUCACUCUUAGAUAGCUCCUGGACUUUUCCGUUUUUCUGAUUGAUAAUGGGACGUCUGAAUUAAUGAUAUCAGAAUCGCCGAAAAUGAUCAAAAAUUCAUGUUUUUUUGUAAAAAAAAGAUCACAAAAUUGAAUAGAAUAGAGGAUAAAAUUCUUGAAUUUGAAAUCAGAGUUAUAGAUUUUGAUUUAGAAUGUUAAAAAAUUUAAAUGAGAAAACAUUUCAUAUAGGCUUUUAAAAUUGCCAACUUCUACACCAGUUAAUUAGUAGUUUAAUGAUGCAUCAUCAUUAAAUAAGUACUUGGAAUUUCUAGGGCAUGUUUGAACCUGCUCGUGCUUUUGCUUUUUUUUUAAAAAAAAGUUCUAGUACAAUAUUUGGUAAGUACUUAGAAUUUCUAUUGCAGUUGGAAGCAAAAAUCAGAUUUUGAGCGUACAAAAUAUGAGGUAUAAUUUGUCACUUUUCGUUUUAAUAUCGAGUGUAUUUUAUUACAAUACUUUCAAAUGGUUACGACCUGUAUUAACUUAAUACACAUAGAAAAGAAAGUACUUCUAUUGUAUUUUUUUUGUAGUGCUUCACCUAAUAACACCAUUUUAUGAAACAAUAGUCCUGCAAAACAGGCGCUCACAUAGCCAUUACAUGAACUAUUUUCAAGCCCAGUAAGUUAAAAGAAAUGCUAACAUAAGAGCAAAAAAGUUAGAACAACUUCUGUAGCAGAAAUAUUGUAUUAUUUGAGUUGCAAUAUGACACUACAUACAUUUUGAAACAAUAUACAAAUGGCGGGAAAAUCUGAAGUAGAUCAACCAAUUCUCGACAAAAUGGAUUGUUGGCAUUGGGCAUCAGGUUACAAGGCCUAAGAGAAUCUAUGAACUGAGGAUAUUUAGUAGUUGGACUCUACAUUGGAUCAAUCUCCUGAACAGGCAUUCUAAUCCUUCUUCUAGACCUUCAACUGUGGCCUCCAAUGUUCGCAAUUGAUUUUGCGCAUUCGCUCUCUUCUCUUCAUUAAAAUCCUUCAAAGAACAAGAACAAAAGAACGAUGCAUCGAUCUCGCACUCCUCUUCGCAUGCUACUCUCCGCUUGUGCAGCGUCCUCGAGACGAGAGACCACUUGCUGGUCUUCGGCUUUACAAUUCUCGUCGACAAGAAUGAUAAAAUGGAUUGGAGGACGCUGACGGUGACCUCUCUUGCUUUGAUCAGUAUCUGUAUGGCAGUCGACUGACCCCGAUCCUCUUUAGUGGCGGAAAGCGCUGCGAACUUGUUAUGAUCCAUUUGCUUCUUGGCUUCCUUGUUCAAUUUCUUACUCGCGCGAAUGAAAGCCUGCACUUUGCUUUCGAUAGCCGCUUCAUCUCCUCUUCUGACGGCCGAUCGGACGUCUUGAACAUGCUCUUUCAUUGCCGCUGAGUUAUCCCUCAUUGCACCGCAAAUGUCCAGCAAUCUAAUUGAGCUUCCCUGCUCUGCUUCUACCAGUUUCUUUUGGCGGGCACCGGAGAGAUCUAGCGUUUUGGUUGCUCGGUAAGCGAAGGACCUUGACAAUGCAUUCAUGCAAAUCUCCGAGCCUGCACAAUUCAUCGCAGAUCGUCGACGCAGUCAUGGCCGAUGAGGCCAUGCAAGCUCUAAGCUUGUCAAACUCUUCUUCGCACUUGAGCUCAGCAGAAUGAGAUCUCGACGGCAAGCUGAUGGAUCGGAGGUGGCAAGCCAUUCUCUGUAAGGAGAGCAAAUUAACUAAGCAAGGGUUUGUUUGAAUUGGUUUGAUCCUUGGUCACCUCUCUACUCAUAAACAAGGUGAAUGAGACACCAAGAAUCUGGGCCAGGUGAGCGCUCGUGUGUUGCCAAUGGGGCAAUGUGGUUCUUGUAGCCAUUUCCGCAAACACCUUGUGCUCGUCCAUCCCUUAUUUAUUAGCAAAGACCACAGCGCACGGAUCAAAUGAUUGUGGUAGAGCUGAGCGAAGGUUUAUCGAUUCGUUGAGAAAAAUAAUACGAAAAAAACUCCCACAGCUGAUGAAUUUGUUUGAUGGGGAGACACAGGGAAUCUCGGGGGGGUAAAACUCUCAUGUGCUCUCAUGGUGACUCUUGUGAACAUUUCCACAAAUAAAUGAUUUUCGCUUUUUGUCUUUUAUGCCUAACACUUUAUGAGAAUUACAAGUAUAUUUUGUACACUGCACCAAGGGCUCGUUUGGUGGAUCUUGCUCCCAGUGAUCAAAACAUGGUGUCCCUGAAUGACGAAGAAGAGCUCGUGUGCCAAAUCAUUCGGAUAAUUAAAUUAACAAGAAAAAAAAAAUUUGAGCACAAUGUGUUUGUGGAAAUGUCUAAAAGAAUCAAGCAGCAAAGCCAGACCUACUACAUUGACAGCACAUGGCAGGUUUCGGUUGCUGCACACUCGCUGUCGACCAAAUUUCAACUUGCUAGAGAUGCCAAUCUAUUGCCGAUUCAAUGCCAAGCAAUCGAGGAAGUUUUUUAAAUAGGUUUAUUGGCAAUAUAAACAUCUUACCGAACCAUUUGGCACUGAAUUGUGAUGCUCGUGCAGUGGAUCUUGCCGCCGAUAAUUUAAGCAUGACAGCCUUGAAAUACUUCAUCUCUUGUACUAAUUAGUUAUUGUAGAAGACAACUUGUUUGCGAACGAUGAUCUAGCGUGACAGCACACGGGGUAUUGUUUCUGUAAGAUUCUCGGUGUCUUCUCGUUGAACUACAUGAUGCUUUAUUUGCUUUGGUUUAUAAGCAGGGGGAGUUGAAUGAUCAAUCUCAUCACAUCCAGAACUUCCUCUUUUCCCUUUCUUCAAUUUACCGCAAAAGGAGAACCUUGUAAUUUAGGAGCCAAAAUGGCUUGCCAUCUCCGAUCGAUCAGCAUGCCCACAACUCCCCAUUCCGUCGUGCUCAGAGUUGAAGACGAGCUACAGAAGCUAAGAGCUUCCGCAGCUUCACUCUCUUUAACAGCGCAUAUUAGAUUAUAUGAAUCCGUCGAGGAGCUUCUUUUAUUGCCAAGCAACCAAAAAGGUCUCUCCCACUCGCUACAAAAGAAAUGGGUGGAGAGAGAACUAGAGGAGUCCGUCGCAUUGCUCGACAUCUGUAGCACAGCGCGGGAAAACUUGGCUGCAUUGAAAGUGCAUAUUCAGGAACUCCAUUUGGCGCUUCGAAGAGGAAAAGAUGCGGCUAUUGAAAGCAAAGUGCAAGCUUAUGUUCGUUCGGCAAAGAAGGCUAAUAAGGAUAUGAAGAAGCAGCGUGGAGCCAUUUGUCGCAUCAAAGAGGAUCAAGAUCAGUCAAAGACAAUCAGGCUAUUGGUCGAAGCAAGAGAGGUCACAAUCUCUUUCCUCCAACGUGCUUUGUCGCUUCUGUCGAAACAAAUGGUCGAGCCCAAGAAUAGCAAGUGGUCUAUUAUCUCAAAGACAUUUCACAAGCGGCGAGUGUCAUGUGAGGAGGAGCAAAAGGAUGAUGCCUUAUUCUUUGGUUCUUGUUCUAUCAAGAAUUUGGAUGACAACGGGACUUUGAAGGCGCGGAAGCAAUUGCAUACAUUGGAGGCCUUCAUCGAAGGUCUUGAGAAUGGAUUAGAGUGCUUAUUUAGGCAACUGAUCCAAAAUAGAGUCUCUCUUCUGAAUAUCUGCAGCUCAUAAAUAGUCUUUAAGGCAUUGUACUUCUAGUGCCAACGAUUUGGAAUCCGCCUUUUAAAGGAUUCGCAGAUCAAUACAUCUCUUCCCCUCUUGUAAAACUGGAAUGUGUAGCUACCUGUUCCAGUUGAAACACAUUUAGUUUUUCACAUGUGCACGCUCUUAUUAUGAUUUUCUGCGUUUUUUUUUUCCGCCUGACUUUGCUGUGGAAAUCUUGAAGAUACAUUUUCUUUUAUCGCAGUAAACAAAUUUCAGUUCCAAUUCAAGUGACUUCUGGAGUGUGAUUGGAUGAUGUCCUGACACUUGGGUAUUAAUACUUUUGAGUGAAUAAACUCAAGAUAGGGCAGAUCAUCUUAGAAUGGAUUUACUAGUCCUGCUACUGCUUUGAUAUGCUUUUCAAGCAAUAUAAUACUAUGCAUGAUGAACAGUUUUUACAAAGAAUGAGUCGAGUAAUAUAAAACCAGCAUCUUCAUUUUUAAGAAUGAAUCGAGUAGUGUAAAAUCAGCGUGUUCAUUUUUAAUGUUUCUCUUAAUCUAGUUUCUAAAUAGCCACUUAACAUCUGUUACUUGGUUCAUUCUGGAUGGAAAUAUUACCAUUUGUUUACUAAAUGCUAGAGUCUUUUAUUAUCUCAGCAUAUAAUUUCAGAAAUUUUGUUCCUCAACUGUGCAUUCCUUUCUGAUCAUUCUUGUGAGAUGUCAUUCAUAUUGCAAAAUGUAGAAAUUCUUCUAUAUCAGUUUAGGCUCAUGGUAAAUAUAGCAAACACAUUGAUUAGGAGAUUAAACUAAUCAGGUCUGUUAACAGAAAAAAAAAAAAACUUUGUUACCAUUUUUUCGGAUAUUCCAGCCCAUGUCAAGUGCUACUCUCCAUCAUAAAAAUUUGCCAAAUAGACAAGUCUCAAGCGAAGCACGAAAUUAUUCGUGGAAGAAAGAAAAGAAAUAUUUUCCAAGCAACUGAGAAGGAAAGCAAUAAAUUGAAGGCAUUACUCAUAUCGAAUUUGUAAGGAGUAUUCAACAUGUUCUUCAAAAUAUUUCUCUACUUCCGAAUUAUGGGCAGCCUAGAACUACUGGUUAUUCUUCGCAAACAAGCAAUGCUUGUAAUUUGUAUUUUUUAGGGCUGGAGAUGAAUUGGCAGCCAGGCAGUUCCUCAUUGUCCAAGGAUUUAAUUCUGAAAUCGUCAGAAGCGUGAAUUGGUGAUAGGCCGAACAAAUAUUCUACACUAGUUUGAUAAACAGUACUAGAACUAGAUUGUUAACAUUUCUUCGACGGCAUACUGUAACAUGCCAUUAAUCCGAGCAUUAGUCCUAGUCCUCUGCCAGAAUAGCUCAUUGCUCAACUAUCAUUAAUUCAGCAGUAGAAGAGAAGUAGUUCUCCUACAUUACCAUAGAGAUGAUGAUAAAACAAACCAAAUAUACCAAUAGAACCAUGUAUUAGUGUACGUUAUACAUAUAAUUCAACUUGGAACAACAUACUAUACACUCUGAAAUGUAUACAAAUGGGGAAAUAUUUGAAGUAGAUCAACCAAUCCUUUACAAAAUGGAUGGUUGUAGUUGGGUUUAGGGUGGCAAGAUCGAAGGGAAUUCACAAGCUGAGGACAUUUAGGAGUGAGACUCUACUUUGGAUUAGUCGCCUAAACAAGCAUUCUAAUCCUGUUUCUAUACCUUCAAUGGUGGUCUCCAAUGUCUGCAAUUGAUUGUGCGCCUUCAUUCUCUUCUCCUCGUUAUCCUUAAAGGCAUAAGAUGACAAGAUUGAGGCAUCGCCGCCGUCGUGCUCUUCUCCACAUGCCACUUUCCUCUUGCUCAAUGUCCUUGAGACAAGUGACCACUUGCUAGUCUUUGGUUUCGCCGUUUUGGUGGACAAAAAUGAUAUAACAGAUUCGAGGAGGGAGACGGUUAUCUCUCUUGAUUCUUUCAAUAGUUUAACCGUUGUCGGUACAUCAUGAUCCUCUUUGCUAUGAGAAGUAGCUCCGCGGUUUUUACUGAUUUGCGUCUUGAUAUCCUUGUUCGCCUUCUUAGUCAAACGAAUGAGAGCCUGCAUUUUGCUUUCAAUAGCUGCAUCAUCUGCUCUUCGAAGGGCCGAUCGGACAUCUUGAACAUGCUCUUUCAUUGCACCCAAAUUAUCCCUCAUUGCACCGCAAAGGUCCAACAAUCUGAUAGAGCAUUCGAGCUCCGCUUCGACCAAUUCCUUUUGGUGCGGACAGGAAAGAGCAUUUUGGUUGCUCGGUAAGCGAAGAGCCUCCUCAAUACAUUCAUACAAAUCUCCAAGACCACCCCUUAAUCCAUCGCACAUCGUCUCGGCAGUUGCUGACAAUGUGACCACACAAGCCUUCAGCUUUUUGAGCUCUUCUUCGCACCUGAGCUCGACAGAAUGCGAUCUCGAGGGCAAGCUGAUGGAUCUGAGAUGGCAAGCCAUUUGGCGUAACACUCUUCUUGUUGUUCGCCAAAUGCGAGAAGAUCAGAUUAUAGAAGCAAGAGUUAGUUUGUGUUGGUUAGAUUCUUGGGCUCUUCUCUACUUAUAAACAGAGCCCAACAAUUGUCUACAUGACGAGACACCAAGAAUCUUGGCCAGCUGAGUUCUCAUGUGGUGCCAAUGUGGCAAUGUGGUUCUUGUAGGUAUUUCCACAAACACCUUGUGUGUGUUUUCCCUUUACUCAUGCUCGUGCAAUAAUGUCAAGCUUCAACUGCUAGUAACAAAGUUCUAGCACACGAAUCAUUAAAAUUAAUAGUUUUUUUGUAAUAUGAAACAAAAAUUAACAUUUAAGAAAUAGUCAAUAAAAAAAUGGCCUAUAGCUGAGGGGAGCUCAAGGCAACUUUACUUUUUUAAUAGCCAUGGAUAAUAAUGAAGAGUGAUGCAUCUCAUUGACCAAGAGCAAUAAAGAACAAUAAAAAUUAGGACAAAAAAAAAGAAAAUGAUCACCACCUGUUGUGGUAAUGGCUACAAGAAUCACGUUGCGCACAGAGACCCACAAUGCGAGCACGUGUGUGAGCUUGGUUCACAAUGGUGUUCCAGGUAACGGCGUUGAUUAUUCAGAAAAAAAAAAAUGGUAAGAUGCUCGUGUGGUGAUAAAUGUGAGAUCAUGGUAUUAAUAAUUGGAACAUGCCAGCGCUGAACGACGAUGAAAAUGUCGCGAGAAAGAAAUGCGUACGACCUGUUUGUUGAAAUGCCUACAAGAACAGCAUUGCGGCUAGAAGGCCAAGGUGUUCCCAAUAAAAGGAAAUGAUUAACACCCUCCCAGAAAUGUGUGUUAGUUAUGAAACCAUUUAUGGCUUUUUCCUGGAUCUGAUGCUAACAUAUGUCGCGCUCGUGCGGUGGAUCAUGCUGCUAUUAUUUGAAACAUGACAGCCUUGCAGUUUGAGCAAAGAAAAUAGAGAAAGCAAGAAUUGCUGCAAGGUCCAUGCUUGAGAUGAAGAGCAUUAUUGGCAGCACAUGGGAGCUUAAAUUAUUGAGAUUCCUGCUGCCUCACCAUGAAACUGUGCCAGAAGUUUCAGGCUCUUAUAAGUGGAGUAUCUUGCGAAUCGAUUCCAUCACAACAUCUUCAUUUCACUCUUUUUAGCUACUUGACUAGGAAGAGAAUUCAAGCAUUAAGAAUGCAGAUGGCGUGCCAUCUCCGAUCCGUUAGCUUGCCCACUAGACCCCAUUCCCUUGUGCUCAAGGUCGACAAAGAGCUGCAGAAGCUGCGAGAUUGCGUGGCUUCUCCCUCCUCAACAGCCGAAAUGAUUUGCAACGCAUUCGAAGGGAUUAGAAAUCUGAAUGAGUGCAUUGAGGAGCUCGUUUGUUUGCCGAGCAACCGAAAUGGUCUCUUGCACACACAACAGAAGAAAUUGGUGGAGGAAGAACUGGAGAGAUCGGUCGAGGUACUUGAUCUCUGUGGCAAAAUGCGCGAUACAUUGGCUACAAGGAAGGUGCAUAUCCAAGACCUUCUGUCGGCUCUUCGCAGGGGACGAUAUGCAGCUAUGGCAAGCAAAGUUCAAUCUUGCAUCCGCUCGGUAAAGACAGGGGACAAGGAUAUCAAGAAGAUGAUGACUAGCAAGCAUGGACCUCUUUCUUCCAUCAAAGAGAAUUCCGAUCUUUUCAUUGUCGUCAGACUGUUGAGAGAAUCAAGAGAGAUCACCGCGUCUCUCCUCCAAUCAGUGUUGUCAUUCUUGUGCAAUCAAAUUGUCAGGCCAAAGUCCAGCAAUUGGUCUUUUGUCUCGAAGGCAUUUAACAAGAAGAAAGUUGCAUGCGAGGAGUGGCAAGAGGUUGCCAACUUUGCAUUCGCUUCUUAUUCUUGCAAGGAUAUGGACAAUGAGCGCGUUUCAAGGAUACGAAAGCAAUUGCAAACUUUAGAGGCCAAUAUCGAAGGCCUGGAGAAUGGAGUCGAUUUCUUAUUCAGGCGGCUGAUCCAAACAAGAGUCGCUCCUCUAAAUGUCCUCAGCUCAUAAAAAUUUCCUCAAACCUUCUCACUUCUAUACCCAAUGAUCAGCUUCCGCAUUUUAUAGGAUUUGUUGAUCGACGACAAUCCUCUCAAAUUUUGUAUACAACUUAAAAUGUAUAGUGUGUUGUUUGGAAUGAAAACUCAGAUAUUUGAAGGAUCCUUCAUUUCAUUGUCAACUUGGUCUCAUUAUCGUAGUUUAUGUACUGCCUUUUUGCUUGUAAACCCUUAAUUGCUUGGUGAGUAGCUUCUGAAGUCCGGCUCCAAUGUGAUGAACUUGCAAUUGAAUUAGGAAGUCAAUCAUGUUGAUAAUUUUAUCUUCAACUUUUUUUGAUUCCAUACUCCAAUCAAUUCUAUAGAUAGGAGCACAUAGUUAGUAAAUCUGCUGAUGAUCUAUAAAACAAAAUAUCUUACUGUAAAAGUAUGUCAUUGUUUUCUUUCCAUAUGGCCGGCUUACUGAUCUUUUCUCUGUUGCCUGUAAAUGCAUUUUUAUAUUUUUCCUCCAAUAGUUAAUUAGUGCAGAAAGUAUCCACUUGUUAAUAAUUUAAUUCUCAAUCACAGCUCUGCAACUGACAUGUUAAUGUCGGUCACAAAGUAAAAUUCGUUUACAUCAUAUUAGACUUAGUACAAGCAGAAAAUUACAUCAUAUAACCAUCUAAACAUUACAGUUUUCUCUCCCUCUUUUCUUUUUUUUUUUUGGAAUAAACUUAUAAUCUGUCUUCUAAGGUAUAAAUAUUGCAGUUCUGUUCACCAAUCAUGAGUUUGCAACUGUCACUGUUAACUCAUUCAUGCUAAAAACUCAAAAUACAACUAAAAUAACCAUCUAAAGAAGUCAAACUUCUGCAGAUCAAUUCAAAUCUACUUUUCUGGCAUGCAAAAUGUGAAUGCUGGAAUUACUACAAGAUUUCGAAUGGAUAGCAAGAUCACCAAUGUGCAGAAAUUUUCUACACACUGAGUUCGCGAGAAAUCUGUGCCCAAAACUUAUACCAAAGCAAGCAAGAUUUUACCGCUACAAGCUAACAAAAUCAUCUUGCGUAGAAAUUUUCUACACAAUGAACAUGCCAGGUGUGCUUGAUCUCGUCCACCAUGUCGGUUGUGAACCAAUAUCCUCGCCCGUGUGCUUGAUCUAGCUGCAGUGGAAUCUUGAUGCCCUUCGACUACGAGCUAAUGAACAUGCCAGGUUUCCAACUGCAAGCGCAAGCUGUUUGUGGUCAUGUCUACUAGAACAAAGUUCAGCGCCGAGAACCACACUAACUUCACCGGUCGAGAUUCUCGGUGUCUCCCUCAUUAAGCUGAUUCAUGAGUUACUAAUUUGUUAUUCUCUUACAUUGUCAUGCCAAGUGUCUAAAGAUUCCUUCUAAUCACAAUUGUAUAAUUCGCCAGUGUGUGAUUGUUCUUGGAGACCGAAACAUUACACAUCUGGCAUCUGAAUGAGAGAGUCGAGCAUCAGAUAUCGCACGAGCGAUAAUAAUAAAGGAAGUCGUGCAUCAGCUGCUACUGAAAAUGACUACAAUAACCAAAUUGAAUACUAGUAUCCACAUUGGCAGCACAUGUGGACUCGGGUGUCCAAGAUUCUUGGUGUCUCCUGUAGAAAAUUUUAGAGUUGCGGUAAAUAAGUAGAGGGGAGGCCAAGGAUCAACCAAAGAAAACCUGUCCUUCUCUUCUCUUCAUCUGUAUCUGUAUAGACAAGAAGAGUCUUCUACCACCUACAGAACAAAAAUGUCUUGCAAUCUCCGAUCCAUCAGCUUGCCGUCGAGAUCUCACUCUGCGGAGCUCAACUGCGAAGAAGAGCUCGACAAGCUUAGAGCUUGCAUGGCCUCAAUGGCCGUGACUGCGUCGAAGAUGUGCGAUGGAUUGCGCGGGCUUGGAGAUUUGUAUGAAUGCAUUGUCAAGGUUCUUCCCUUACCCAGCAACCAGAACGCUGUCUCCGGUGCCCGCCAAAAGAAACUGGUAGAAGCAGAGCUGGAAAGCUCAAUUAGAUUGCUGGACAUUUGCGGUGCAAUGAGGGAUAACUCGGCGGCAAUGAAAGAGCAUGUUCAAGACGUCCGAUCGGCCGUCAGAAGAGGAGAUGAAGCGGCUAUCGAAAGCAAAGUGCAGGCUUUCAUUCGCGCGAGAAAGAAAGUGAACAAGGAAGCCAAGAAGCAAAUGGAUCAUGACAAGUUCGCAGCGCUUUACGCCACUAAAGAGGAUCGGGGUCAGUCGGCUGCCAUACAGAUACUGAUCAAAGCAAGAGAGGUCACCGUCACCGUCCUCCAAUCCGUUUUAUCAUUCUUGUCGACGAGAAUUGUAAAGCUGAAGACCAGCAAGUGGUCUCUCGUCUCGAGGACGCUGCACAAGAGGAGAGUAGCAUGCGAAGAGGAGUACGAGAUCGAUGCAUCGUUCUUUUGUUCUUAUUCUUUGAAGGAUUUUAACGAAGAGAAGAGAGCGAAUACGCAAAAUCAAUUGCGAACAUUGGAGGCCACAGUUGAAGGUCUAGAAGAAGGAUUAGAAUGCUUGUUCAGGAGAUUGAUCCAAUGUAGAGUCCAAGUUUUAAGUAUCCUCAGCUCAUAGAUUCUCUUAGGCCUUGUAACCUGGUGCCCAAUGACAACAAUCCAUUUUGUCGAGGAUUGGUUGAUCAACUAUACUUUCUUUUUCUUUUUUUUUUCCAAUUUGUAUAUGUUACGAGAUGUAUACUAUGAAAUUCCAGCUCAACCGGAGACAUUCCCACGAGAUGGAAGAGCUGCAGGAACGUGUUGUCGGGAGCUGCAAAAGCUUGGUUUGACUUAUGCUUUGUGGCAGCUUGCUGGGAAAUAUGGAAAGAGCGAAACUCGAGACUCUUUACCAAUCGCCGCACUUCUAGCGAAGAACUGGGCAAGACAGUCACCUGCUUAGUCAAGCUCUGGAUGUACGUGUGGAGGAGGUAACCAACCAACAGAUCGUGGCCGAGUUUGGUUACUUGUGCGACCAAUAUAGCUAGACUAAUUUGCUUCUCCCACUCUACCUCUUGUACUCUGCUCGUUCUCCUCUGAACAAGCCUCCCUUUGUCCCCUCUGCUUGUAUUCCCCUACCAAACAGGCGAACCCCUGUUUAAUCAAAAAAAAAAAAAAAAUUCCAGCUCAAAUUUAGCAACAAUUUUCUCAAUAAGCAUUUCUUUUCCUUGGGGAGUUUGCGAGUAGUAGGCUUUGUUACAUAAUUGACAAAUUUAUGGCAAGACAUGCAAGAAGUAAUCCCGACUACAGUAAUCAUUGAUAUUUAAUUCAAAUGCUAUGUUUUGCUUGCAGUUGGGAGAAUUGCACUUCUAGUCCCUGAACUAUGAGUUAACCGGCGGUUUAGUCCUCAAGUUAGGAACCACUGAUGUUGAAUUUGAAAGUCAGAGACGCAAAUGGAACUUCGCUGAAAAUUUGGGGACUAGUGGUGUAGUAUACUCUUUCCCUAUUCCAUAUAUAUAUAUAUAUAGAGAGAGAGAGAGAGAGAGAGAGAGAGAGAUGCUACUUAUACACUCCAACAAAAGAAGAGCGUUUGAUAUACAUCCACCGUUCUAAAAUUUAAAAUUUCUUUUGGCUUUGAGUACCUAAAGAAGAUGUAAAAUUUGUACCUUCUUUUGGGAUAACCAGCAGCAUUAUUCAAUAAUUUAAUAUUAUUUAAUAUCUAAUCCAGUCAUUCAAAUUAAUUAUUCUUAUUUAAAAAGUAGUUCUAUCUUAUAGAUUCUAAACUUUGACUGUUUUAAACUUUUAAUUAUAUUGAAGAUUUUUUUUGGGAGAGAAAGGUAGCACACUACCUGCUUCAUUCAAUAGGAAAGUGAACUAAGCUUACAAGGUGGAAGCAACUUAGGCUUCCUUGGCAAAAACCGAACCCCAAAAACAGAGAAACUAAACAACAGUGGCGAAAGAAAUAAGGAAGAAGUAAUAAAAAAGAAAGUGGGUAAGAGGAAAUGGGUUACAUGAGUGAGCUCCAGUCACUAAGCAGGGUUGAAGCUCUGUCCGAAGCUCUCUCGACGUUGGGGAGGCUUGAACGGAAGACGAAGUUGUUUCGCUCAGUCCAGAGAACCCACCAAGUGGCCGCUAGCUUGGUUAGACCUUUAGAUCUUAAAGAGGCGUCGGGGGUCUGUGAAAUUAGAUUCCAAAGUCCUCGUACGUCCCCACCCGGGGCCAAGUUGUGUACCCCCGCUAGUCGUUGAAGAAGAAAACGGGCAAAGACACAGUUGCAGAAGAGGUGGUCGGCACAUUCAGGGAAUCAGCACAAAAGACACAGGAAGGGUCCAAAUGGGCCCCUCGCCUAAUCAAUCUGUCAGCCGUGGGCAGCCUCUUGCGUAGGAGCAACCAGACGAAGGUUUUGAUUUUAACCAGGAUCUUAAGUUUCCACAGGUGUUGAUUGAGCGGCUCACUUUGUCCGGCGAAAGUGAUAAAUUUGUACAAGGAGUUAACAGUGAAUUUGUCGUGAGAGGUCAAUCUCCAUAUAAGUGAGUCCGGUCUUGUGCUUGGGGAGAAUUGGAGUAGGCGUUCCUUUAGGAGUGCUAACUGUCUUCUAUUUCCCGAGAAGGCUGAGGCUAAGAAUCCUCUGCAGAUGAAACGCCAUCUCCAGCCGAGUUGAUUCCAGCAGUGGGAAAUCCGAACAUCCUUGUUCCUGAUAGCCAAGAAAAUAUUUGGGAAUUCUGUGCUUAGCGGUGUUUCCUCGAUCCAGAUGUCCUUCCAUAGCCUAAUGAUGCUUCCAUCACCCAUGCCAUAAAAAAUGCCACAUUUAAACACUUCUUGACACUAGAUCACUCCUCUCCACCACUGCGAGAAAGGUACAAAGGCUUUUCCCUCGUGCAGUGGUCUUCUUCUCGAGUAGUAAAGAUGUUUAAUGAGGUUACACCAAUAUUGAAGAUUUUUUUUUUAAUGGGUGAAGAUGUCCCUUGAGGAUCAGAAGUUUAACCCCCUUUACAAAUCAAAAUUACUGAUCAUACCUAGCGCGAUUGACUAAAUAACUUAGUGGUUGAAAUUCGAGAUUCCAAAUAUGCAACUUAGAUGCUUUUUUGCGAAAUGAAAAAGAAGAAAACGACAACGACAAAGAAGAAGAAGAAGAACCCUUGCACUUCUAGGCAGAAUCCCCCUCUUCCACUAGGACUCAGAAUCAAUGAUCCACACCCGGAAUCCUUUACCCAGGCGCCGUACCACUGGGAUUACAAUGAUUUGGCGGAGACAUGACAACCAAUGGAUGAAUGCACCAACCAUUAGUUAUCCAAGUUUGAGCACGAGGUGUUUGUGGAAAUGUCUACAAGAAGCAUAUUCACAGCAAAUAAGAGCUUCAUAGCUAAUCUAGAUUCUUGGUGUCUCCCUAUAUACAUUUGCUAAUUACAACAAAUUCUUUUCUUUUUUUUUUUUGGUUAACUCUUCCAAUAUAUUUAUUCACCAAACGUGCAUGGUUUCCACUGCAAUUAUAUGAAUCGUGUGGUUUAAGUCUUUGAUGAUAGAAGUAGAAACAUGUGCGUUAUGUGGUUUAAGUCUUUGAUGAUAGAAGUAGAAACAUGACAACGCACGUCCAUUACUAAAGCAAGAAGGGUCUAGAGGUGUUUGUAGAAAUGGCUACAAGAAUCGUGUUGCAACCAAAUAUUACAUUGGGUGCACAUGAGAGCUUGGUUGACCAAGAUUCUUAGUGUCCCAUCACCUGGUUUAUAAGUAGAGAGAGGCGACCAAGGAUCGAACCAACACAAACAAACCCUUCCUUCUUUUGCUCUCCUUGCAUUGACAUACAACAAAGAAUGGCUUGCCAUCUCCGAUCCGUCAGCUUGCCCUCGACGUCUCACUCCGUCGAGCUCAAGUGCGGAGAAGAGCUCGACAAGCUUAAGGCUUGCGUGGUUUCACCCGUCGCAACUGCCGAGACGAUUCGUGGCGGACUGAGUCGGCUCGGAGAUUUAUACGGAUGCGUCGAGGAGGUCCUUCACUUACCAAGCAACCAAAGCGCCGUUCUCUCCCGAUCACAUCGAAAGGAAUGGUUAGAACCGGAGCUCGAAGGCUCUGUCAGGUUGUUGGACCUUUGCUGCACAAUGAGGGAUAAUUUGGCUGCAUUGAAAGAGCAUGUUCAAGAUGUUCGAUCGGCCCUUCGAAGAGGAGAUGAUGCAGGUAUUGAAAGCAAAGUGCAAGCUUUUGUUCAAUCGAGUAAGAAGGCAAGCAAGGGUAUCAAGAAGCAACUAGCCAACAUGUGUCGAGCUCUUUCGGCUAACAAAGAGGAUCUAGAUCAGCCGAAUGCGAUUAGGCUAUUGAAGCAAGCAAGACAGAUCGCCAUCUCCCUCCUACAAUCUGUUCUACUGUUUUUGUCCGCAAGAAUGGUAAAACCGAAGACCAGCAAUUGGUCUCUUGUUUCCAGGACAUUGCACAGGAGAAAAGUGGCCUGCGAAGAAGAGCGCGUGGAUGAUGCCUUUUUCCUUCCUUCUUUUUCUGUUAAGGAUAAUGAGGAGAAGAGAGCGAAGGUGCAAAAUCAAUUGCAGACGUUGGAGGUCACAAUUGAAGGUCUAGAAAGAGGAUUAGAAUGCUUGUUCAGGCGACUGAUCCAAAGCAGAGUUUCACUUCUGAAUAUCCUCAGCUCAUAAUCCCUCUUGGUAACUUGGUAGUUCUUAUCAAAUGAUAACCAUCCGUUUUGUAAAGGAUCGGUUGAUCAGCUUCGAUUUAUUCACCCUUGUAUAAAUGUUACAGUGUAUAGUGCGCCGUUCAAAUUCAAAUCAUUUAUUCAUCCAAAGAUUUCUUGGCACAUCUGGCUUCUCUUUUGUGAAUGACUCUUUUGUUGUAGACUUGUAGUGGCAUGUGGAUUGAUGAUUUGUUGGCAUAUAAAGCCAAUUUCUAGUUACCAAACAAACAACAACUUAACAAUAAGUUGUUCUAAUAGAAGAUUGAGGUUAGUUGUUUUCAUAAGUUGCAAUUCUAUUUCAAUGGGAAGCACCUGAAGAAAUAAUAACAUGGUCUAUAAAAUGAAUGCAAUACUACAUUAUGCUGAUUAAAGUUCAAGAACGAAAUCGAAAAUUGAUCUUGUAAACGAUUUCAUACUUGCUGUCGAAAAGCCUUGUUGUUCGACAUUCACAGAAAAUCUCAAGCACAGAUCUACGUAAUCUUGCGCUCUUCCCUUCGCAAGAAUAAAAGCUGCCUCAUUGCACGGUUAAGUGAUGUUACAAUGGAAAAUAGAUAUAUAUAGCUGUACAUGCUUCUGUUCUUUAUUUACAAUGUUCAGUUAAAUAAUUUUGACAAAGUUAAAGGCAUUUCUACUAAAUCAGUGCUGUUAUUAAUGCUCAACAGUUCAGCUACAAAAUUAUCUUUUCGGUACUAAAUUCUGAUAACAACAUAUUAUAUAAAAUCAGCUGACUCCUAGAACAGAAAUAAGGGAAAUAUAUUGAGGGAACAGAGAAUUACUACUAAUGAGGAGAGAACAUAAAGUAAAGAAAAGAAUGGUGUAAAGCAAAAGAAAGCAACCAACAAACAAAAUAUUAAUCCUCAUGAAAACUACUUAAUUAAGGGGGAAGAGAUGCUGUGGAAGUGUUCCCUAAUGACUGAAACAGAGACAAAUAACAAGCCUAGCAUAUCAUUAAAUAUCUUCUGAUUUAUGGUCCCUUCAUGGAAAAAGCAGAAUGAUGAUAUAAAAGGGAUGCGGUUUGAGAAGGUUCAAAGAGAUGAUGAUGACACUUUAAACAGGAGAAAUUCCCAAUGCCAUAAAUUCGUCUGAAGAUUAGAGACUUAUGCAAGCGAUAAUGUUUACGACUACAAUUUGCCAAGAUACUAAGGAUUGACAAGCAAAAGAGACCGUGUAAUUUACAAAACUAAAAACGAACGUGAAAGUAAGAAUCGUCUUUGCAAAAAAAGUUAAAUAUAUGAUUUUCUUUCCAACAACACACUAUACAUGUUUACUCGCAUACAAAAUUUAGGAGGACUGAUAAUCAGCAUAUCCUAUAAAAUGCGGACGCUGGUCAUUGGGAGUAAAGUAACAAGGAAUGAGGAGAUUCUUCAUGAGCUAAGAAUAUUUAGUAGGGAGACUCUUGUUUGGAUCAGCCGCCUAAAUAAGCAAUCCACUCCGUUCUCUAGACUAUUGAUGUUCCAUUCUAGUGUUUGCAAGUGUUUUUGUACCCUCGAAGCACUUCCGUCAUCCAAAUCAUUGCAAGAAUAAGAAGCAAAGGCAAAGGCACCAUCUUUUUGCGCCUCCUCGCAUGAUACUUUCCUCUUGUUAAAUGCCUUUGAGACAAGAGUCCACUUGCUAGACCUUUGUUUGACGAUUUGAUGGCACAAGAAUGACAAAACCGAUUGAAGGAGAGCGACGGCGAUUUCUCUUGCUUCUGUAAACAGCCUAACGACAAUGAAAAGAUCGCAAUCCUCUUUGCUGGAAGAAAGAGGAGCGCACUUGCUAACCACCAUCUUCUCGAUAUCCUUCCUCCCUUUCUUUACCGAGCGGAUGUAAGAUUGAAGUUUGCUUUCCAGAGCCGCAUAUGCUCCUCUGCGAAGAGCUGAUCGGAGGUCUUGAACAUUCGUUUUCAUCGCAUCCAAGUUAUCCCUCAUUUUGUCGCAGAGGUCGAGCAACUUGACAGAUCUGUCCAGUUCUUCCUCCACCAGUUUCUUCUGUUGUGGAUGGGAGAGACCAUUUCGGAUGCUCGGCAAACAACAGAGCUCCUCAAUGCAGUCAUACAGAUUUCUAAUCCCUUCGAAUGCGCUGCAGAUCAUUUCGGCCGUUAAGGAGGGAGAAGCCACGCAGUCCCGCAGCUUCUGCAGCUCCUCUUCGACCUUGAGCACAAGGGAAUGGGGUCUGGUGGGCAAGCUAAUCGAACGGAGAUGGCACGCCAUCUGCAUUCUUAGUGCUUGAAUUCUCUUUCUAGUCAAGCAGCUAAAGAAGAGUGAAAGGAAGAUGCCGUGAUGGAAUCGAUUCUCAAGCUUCUCUACUUAUAAGAGCCUGAAACUUACCGGCACAGUUACAAGGGGAGGCACCGAGAAUCUCAAUAAUUUAAGCUCCCAUGUGCUGCCAAUGAAGCUCUUCAUCUCAAGCAUGGGCCUUGCAGCACUUAUUGCUUUCUUUAUUUUCUUUCUUCAGUGCGAGGCUGUCGUGUUUCAAAUAAUAGAAGCAUGGUCCGCCGCACGAACGCGACGUAUGUUAGCGUCAGAUCCAAGAAACAGCCAUAAUGGUUUCAUAACUAACAAAAAUUAAUUCUCGCACUCAUGUGGUGUCAAUACGGGUCUCGGUCCACAAUGUGAUUCUUGUAGCCAUUACGACAAACAGGUUGUACGCAUUUGUUUCUUUCUUCUUUAAUGCUCUACAUCUGUGAGAUUCCUGACACUUCAUGUUUCAAUUGUUGGCAACAAGAUCUUAUAUUAAUCACCACACGAGCAUCUUUUUUAUUUGUUUUCUUUUUUAAAAAAAAAUUUGAAGAACAGGAUACACAACGAACUUCGAUGUGUUCUCAUAAGAGAAACAUGUAAAAGGAGGAAUCGAUCGCCAGUACCUGGAAAACCAUGUGACCAACCUUAUCCUCACACGUGUUGGCACUUCGUUCUUCGUGCGCAAUGUGAUUCUUGUACACAUUACCACAAACAGGUGGUACGCAUCGUGUUUUUUUCUUCGUGAUCGACCGUGGAUCAUAAUUCAUAAUGACUCAAUAAUGAAAGGGAGAAAAAAAGAGAGAGAAAAAUUGUACGAGGAUAAAUAAUGGUCCAUGAACGUGAGGUGUUCGUGGAAAUGGCUACAAGAACCACGUUGCACGCACUCGUUGGCUCAUAUGGUCCACGAUGUUUCACAAGACAACGACACACAAUUUUACAUAUUUGCAGGGGCAAGCAUGCAAAAAUCCAUAUAAUAUUAGGGAUUUUUAAAGGCCAAAAUUGUAAGAUUAAGUUGUAAGCCUAGCACUGCUCUUUCUCAUACUAUUAUGGGCCUACGCACCGACCGUCCUAAAUAAGUAGCAAAGGGCUUGGUGGUUGGUAUCCGAGACCUAAGUUCGAAUCCUAGUUGAUUCACAUUUCUAGCUAAGUUUAUUUUUAAAUAAAAUAAACGAAGCGGGUAGCGUGCUAUCUAUCUCUCAAAAAAAAAUUAUGGGUCUAUGCGAAAGUAACCAUAAUAUUACGGACCUACGGCUAUACCGUACUUCUGAUGCUCAAACUACGAAUCCGAUGAAAUUUUACAUCUCAAAGUUUUUUAUAAUAAUUUCAGGCUCAAACAUUUUGGAUUAUUGCAACUGAGUUUCAUCAUCUUAAUUGAAACACGUAACUUUUGUUACCGAAUAUACCGUAGGAUGACAUUUUUGUGAUGUUCACAAAAUAAACUUUUUUAGGUAGUGCAACUUUUACUUUGCUAAGAAAUUUUAGGACUAUGGAAUUGAGACGCAUCUAAGGGGCCGUUUGGUUGCAUAUAGUUGCAACCGCACUGCAGUUAUAACUAUAUGUAAAUGCAAAUUUCGUGUUUAGUUUGAUAUAUUUAACUCCAACUGUUACAGUAGAAACUGCAGGAGGAGGCCAAACUACAGCAGUUCGAACUACGCUCAAAUUCGCCGCAGUUUCAACUACAGCAGUUGGAGAAAGUAAUUUUAAAUAAAAAGUAUACUUACAUCCUCAAUAUUUUUUAAACAAAAAUUAUUUUUUCUUUUCUACAUUGGAGGUAAUCUCACCAUCAUAUAUAUAAAAUAAUAAAAUUUUAAAAAUUAUUUCUCAACUGCAUGCAAUCAAAUAAAUUAUUUAUACUUACAGCGCUUUCUACUACAUCCAACCAAAUAAGAUUCAUGUAGUUAUAACUACUGUAUUUUCAACUGCAUAUAUUUUUAACUACACUACAUUUAUAAUUGCAUCUAACCAAACGGCUCCUAAUAGUAACAAAUAGAAUGAAGUGAGAGCAAAAAUAAUAUAUAGAAAUAUGUUUCUAUAUUUUUCGGUAAAAAUCAUCUCAUUACGAUAUAUGGAACGUCACUGUACUUUCUCACUUUAGCUUUCUAAACGUAACCUUAAUAUUAUUUCCAAACCCAUUUUCCAAUUACUUAUGAAGUACUUCUAUUUGUUAGACUCCUUUUUUUAUCAAGUUGCGAACGUUAUACCAUAAGCAAGAGUUGUAAUGGAUAAUAGUUGGUGCUUCUAGCAGGGAAAAUUAUGACAGUAAACAUGUAGAUUACAAUAGAAAAGAAAAAAAAUUCACAUAGCGUACAAAUGAUUACAGGAUAAUAAUUAUAUAAAUUGUCUUAUAACAGGCAAUAUAUAUCAAGCCAUAACUUGUUUAGCAGAAUAUAUUUUAUUUUGUUAGAUGAUUUAUAAGAAAAAACAUAUCGUUGUAAGUUUAGCACAUUAUAAUAUAAUUAGCUUGUUGUUAAUAUUAUAUUGAAUUGCUCGAGAAACUUUGAAUAUAAAAUAUUAGACAUUUUUUUGACAGUUCAAGCUUUUAAAGAUUAAUGUAAUGUUUGUCUCGUGUUAUUUUAACAUAAUACCAGAGUCUCAAGCCCAAAUGUUAAAAAAAAAAAUUGAAUAUUAAAUAUUAAACGUCAAAUAUUGCUUUACGAUUAUUUCACAUUGUUUUCACUGGUGAUGCUGAUAAUACAUACACCUAGUCCACUGGUGUUGAUAAUACACAUGCCUAUUUCAUUUUAAUUUUACUGGUGUUGAUGAUACAUGUGCCUAUUCCAUUAUCGUACGAAUACCAUGUGUUAGCAACCAAAUUUUUUUUUUUUUUUUUCAGAUUCUCAAAUCUAAACACUUCCCAUGUUAUUUCUAUUUUCUGAUUUAUUACCUGUGCAGCGUCGCACUUUUUUUUUUUUUUUUUUGUGCCUACCAAAUCCUUCCCUAUUAGACGUAAAUGGUGCAUAGAAAGAUGAAGUUGCGUUCACUUGAUAUUUAUAUAUACUACAUCAUCCCUAAAGUCAAUUGUAAGUUCUCUACACGAAUGGAUCCUGACCCAGGAACUAAUAAUAAGGACUAAUUACCUAACUACCAAUCCAACCCAAUCCAGCUUUUUCAGAAGCUGAAGCUCCAGAUUGCUAUCUCUCUUCUUUGACCGGGAAAAGCUACUUCUAAUUAUAUGUUUCUCUCAUGUGCAUAAUCACAAACGAGAUAUCUCUAUCUAUACAGAGAAAAAUAAAAUUUUGCGGGAAAAAAAUAAAAACUAAUUCCCAAAAAACAAAAGAAUAGAAUCAGGGGGGAUAGGAUGAGACCGGCUUAUUGGAUGAGGAGUUUGAGUGGCCCAGGCCCAUUCUACAAAUCUCCUUCGGGUCCGGCCCGUCCCACUGGGCCGACCGCCCCUUCACGGCCUCCAAUUCUGCUACGCACUCCGCCAUCCCCAUCGCCCCUACUCUCCGCCGCACUGCGGCCGCCUCCGUCCCCGCUGCCUCGUCAAAUAUAUCUUCCCAAUCCUUACCCCACUCUCCGCUUGCGUCGCACAGCUGCAAACUCCCGUUCCGCCACUCGGUCCAGCUCCACCAUCUAUCCAGCCCAUUUCCUACCUGGGCCGCGCACAGACCAGUGCACACGGGUUUACACGGCCGGCACUUGGAACCGCUUAGCGGGCCCGGGCUCCCCAUCGAGGCCACCGGCACGCCGUACUGGCCCGGGGGGAACCCGUACUGCCGGUCGCUCACGAUACAAAACGGGAACCGGCGCUCGUGGGCCUCCACGUGGGCCGUGUCCAACUGGGCCUUGAAUGCGGCCUCCGAAUUGAGGUCGUGGUAGCCCGCGAGGGCCAACCGGGGGACGAGGGAGAGCCGUGAGAGGGCCACCGCCGAGGUGGCAGGGUCGCCGAUGCCCAACCGGUCGUUGAGCCCGCCGUACCCCGAUCCCUCAGGGACGACGUACGAGCCCGGUUCGAACGUGCCCGGGUCGAGCGGGCCGGACCAGAAUCCGUCCACCCGGGUCCGGAUGAUCCAAUCAUACGUGAUGUUAGUUCGCAAUUCGUGGGACCUGAUCAAGUCUAGGCAACCUUCCACUAGAUUAAAGUAUUGAAGUAGACCCUGUAGAGAAUUUAGAAACUCAGACUAAAUUAGCAAAAUACAGCUUGAAAAUAUAACCAAAGCUAUAGAGAUAAAUCAGUAAUGAAGUUAUUAGACAUAUGUAUGGAAAGAAUGGCAAAAAUUCAUCAAAAGAUUACAGAUGAGCGAAGAGAGAUAUAGGAGGUGUGUUAAGUGUUAAGAUUACAUGAAAUCAAUUAGUAAUUAGAAAGAGAUAAUAGUGUGGACCAAAAAAGGCAAUAAUGGAAAAGAAAUAAACAUAUGGGACAUAAAUUAAGAAAUACAUGAGUUUAAUUGCGCAGAAAAUAAAAAAAAAAAAAGAAGAUGUUUUUCCAAUACUAAAAUGGUAUCACAAUUUUUAGAGCUUCUGUACUUCAUAAAAUAUUGUUAUAUCUUAAAAGGAAAAUUUAAGACGACAUGUAUACCAUUUUCAUGAUGUUUCUGUAUAUAUAUAUAUUAUAUAUUAUUUGCCUACGUUGGUCAUUGUCAUCACAUUGGGCUAUUCAAGAACACAUUUGAGAAAACUUUCACAAGCUAACCUUUUGAAACUGACCAAGUUAGCAUUUCACUAGCAAAUUUUAAAAAUAGGACGCUUCUCUUGGUUCAAAAUCAUCAGUUGACUAUACUAAACUAAUUAAUAAUGGUCAUCCAUAUAAACGCCCUGCCUUACCUACUCUUCUAUGUGAACGUAACAACGUACCAUUAUAAUUAUACAUCCAUGUAUUCUUUUUUAAAAAAAGGUCAUCAGUACUCUCCAUUAUUUCUUAUUAAUUAUUAUUCUUAGUUGAAUCAUAAAACAUAUUUUACCCACUCAAUAUUCUCUUUGCACGUAUUUCCUAAAGAAUUAAUCAACUUACGUUAUUUUCAAAAUUUAAUUGCAUAUCACAUGUAUAUGACUAUUUCGAAAGUUACACAAACCACACCAUGGAAUUGCCAAGUCAAAAGACAAAUUGUUAUGUUGCCAAUGUUAGCAACAUGCAUGUGAUGGCUAUAUAUAUAUAUAUAUAUAUAUAUAUAUAGAGAGAGAGAGAGAGAGAGAGAGAGAGAGAGAGAGAGAGAGAGAGUUAAGCUCCUGUACCUUUAAAAGCAAACGACCAUUUGUUCUUAUAAUCUUUUAACAGUUGAAUCGUUUCAAAAUCUACAAGAAACUAUUAAUGGUAAAGGAGCUCAACUCCCUCUCUAUGUAAUCCAUAAGAAACUAUUAAUGGUACAGAAGCUCAACUCCCUCUCUAUAUAUUUCCAAAAUACAAAAGCAGAUACUAAUACUAAACAAAUACCAGCAAUGAAAAUGAUAUGUACAAAAUAUAUGCGCAUGUAUGUAUGUGUAUGUUUCGACGUAGCGUAGAGAGAUAGAGAGAGGAUGAUCGACCUGGAUGCCAUUCGGAGAAUUACUCGGGGUGAGGACCCGCAAAUGCGACUCGCUCUCGGCGAUCGGCGCCUGCGCCGCGACGCGCACCGCGGCGAUCCGGGGCGCCUCCCGGAGCAAUCCGAACUUGUAGGCAUUCUCGUCGAGCGGCGCGUUGACGAACAGGUCGCCUUCCGGUAGCUGCGUCAGCACGUGCUUCACGAUCGACGGCCCCGUGAGCUCAAACCUCCGCGCGCCGCCGACGAGGCACACCGCGAUCCUCUCCCUAUGCGAUUGCCGAUCCGAUCCUUCGUCGCCGUCGCCAUUGUCGUUGUCGUUACUUGUAAUUCCGGUGCUGUUCGGGAUGGAUCGGGAAUGAUGAGAGGAGGGGGGGCGGAAUAGGAGGAGGGGAUGGAGAGAGACGAGUGCGGAGGCGGUGCUAGCGCUGGAAUAAGUUAUUCCGAGGAACAAGAAGAAGAGGAGAGGUGGUGGUGGUCGGAGAGAGUCAUCGCAUCACGGAAUUAGGGUUUUGAGGGGAUAAUUUUGGGGGAUAAAUGGGGACGAGACGAGGAAUUAGGGUUUGGAGGGGAGGGAGGAGAAGGAUAUGAGAGAGAGAGAGAGAGAGAGAGAGAGAGAGAGAGAGAGGAGGGAGAGAACGGAAGCAUCGAAUACGAAGGAGGUUACUACUGUGAUGAGUUUUAAUUUGGGUGAAAAAUGUACGAGACCCCCUCAACUAUAAGUUAUUUUGACACAGGGCCUUUACUUUUCAUUUUUUUUUCUUUCAAAUGCCAUUUUCUCGAUAUGUAUUUUUCUUUUAUUUGAAUUAUUAUAUUUAGUCAAGUUAAAAAUUUUAUUUAAUUUGAUAAUUUGAUAAGUUAUUAAUUAAUCAUCGAUUCAGUUUUAUUUGCUAAAAAGUAUUUAAAUUUAUUUAAUAAAAUCACCAAUAAAUUUUAUACACUAUGUAAUUUAUUUGAUUGAAAUCAUUCAAAUACAAAAAAAAAAAUGGAGAUUCGGUAGACCUCAAAAACAAAAAAAACUAAAGUUUAUAGGGGCCAUUUGAAAAUAGGCUGUAGCUGAAGGGUCUCCACACGUUUUUGCCACUGAUUUAAUAUAAUAUCUUUGUCAUUAACUUAUUUCCUAGUACGACCUUAAUUCAACUAAUAAGGUUAUAAAUGGCAAUUAACCAAUUAAUUAAUUAAUUAAUUAAUGGGUUUAAAAGGCGAAGCGUUAUAACUCGUAACAAAUGGGGGAAGUUUUGCGAAAGAGAUUUUUGAGUACGUGGCGGAGGAGAGGUGGUGGGGUGAAACGGGUACGCGGAUUCUUAGGACAGUUUUGCCCCUUCCCUCGGGGGGCCUCCGGAUUCGCGGCACGGCGGAAGCGUGAGGGUAUUUUAGUCAACUCGCGUGGCGGUUGUUGGCUUUUGUUGCAUGGCAUGACUACGGUGGGGGCUUUGAAGCGUUGUUAUGCAAUAAACGUUUCAUGACCGGCGUGUUAAAAAUAUAAAGGAUAUAAAAGAAAUAAAUUUUUUUUAUCAUAAUUAUUCUAUUAAAAAUAAUAAUACUCAAUAACAAAUUUUAUAUAUCUAUAUCUAUCUAUCUUUUAUACAUUAUCUAUACUACUUAUAAAAUAGAGAGUUUAAAAUUUUUUUCUUUUUCAAAAUAUCGGUUCCUAUUAAUAUAAUUCCAAUCACAUACAUACUAGCAAUAUCAUUUAUUCAACUUUAAUAAAAUAAAUCACAGUUGUAUAAUUUUUAUUUUAUAUUUGAAUUAUCAUAAAAUAUAUUAAUUUUAGUCGGAUUUAAUUCAAUGGCUGACAAAUUAAGUAUCUAUCACUUUUUUUAUCUAAAUUGUUCUCAAAUAGUGCAUAUCAUAUCAAAUUUCACUUUCUAUAUGCGUGCCAUAUUUUAUAAUAGCUGCCGUCCACAUAAUAUUAUAUUUUAUCAUAAAUAAUAUUCACAAUAUACGUAUUUUUUGAAUAUUUUCUUUCUCACACGCAAUAUCCGACACCUAGCUAUAUAAUAUCAAAUCACGUAACACCUUCCAUAUAUAUAAUAUUUAAUCAUAUUUUUUUAAAGGUGAAUAUAUUUUUAUAUCUCAAUUUUAUAUACUAAUAUUUAAAAUAUAAGAUAAUUUUCAAUAAAAUAUAACGUAUUAAGUGAUUCACAAAUUUAUAUUGGAAAAAAUAUCGCAUUUCAUUUACGAGAAUAGAAAAAAAAUUCAUACUUAUCUAAAUUUCUGUCAACUGAAAAAUAUCUGCUAUAAAAUAUUUUUCACAAACGCCCUAUAAAAGAAUAUAUUCCAUACUCAUCAAAAAAACAAAAAUCUCUUGAAAAUAUUUAGUAUCCACUAUCUCUCAAUUAACUAACUAAAAAAAAUUAUGUUUGAAAAAUAGAAUGAUUUAAAUAAGCUUAUCAAAUCAACUUUAAAUUUUAAAUUUGGUUCAUAAUUUCAAAUGUGAAUUAAUAUUUUAAUUCAAAAUUUGAAANUCUCUUGAAAAUAUUUAGUAUCCACUAUCUCUCAAUUAACUAACUAAAAAAAAUUAUGUUUGAAAAAUAGAAUGAUUUAAAUAAGCUUAUCAAAUUAAAUUUAUAUUUAUAUUUUAAAUUUAAAUCUGAAUUCAUUAAUUUAAAAUUUAGAAUUACUUAAAAUUUUUUAAAUUUGGAUACACAUUAAAAAAUUAAAGUUAAAAAAAAUAAUUAAUAAAUAGACUUAUACCACCAAUAAUUAUUUAAAUUUAAAAUAUAAAUAUAAAUUUAAUUUAAUUAAAUGUGACGUGCCUAUAACUAGUUUCUCCUAAAUUUAUCACAUGGCAACAUUUCCUUUAUUUUUUAGUGUGAAGUUCAAUCCGAUCUAGCUCAAGUCAUUUCUAUUUUUUUACUUGAACCGAACCGAUCAUUAUUCUGUGCGUGUUCCAAACCGGCUCAAGUUUUCUAUAUGGUUUCUUCUUUUUUUUACUUAAACCUAAUUUGGUUUCUUUUUUUAUUUACUUGAAUUAAACUGAGUCAACCUGUUGCAUUGGGCUGAACCGACCUAGCUGCUCCGCAUGUUUUCAUCUUUAAACCGAAUUUUCUUUUUUUUACUUGAACCAAACCGGCUCAAAUUAUUCUCUCUUUUUUGCUUGAAUCGAACCGAGUUUUCUCCUUUUUUUUUGCUUGAAUCUAAUCAGAUCACACCUCAGUAUUAGGCUUAACUGUUCCUCUCCCUCUUCCUCCGGCUGUUAUCUUUAUUCAUCGGCAUUUUUUCCAUCACCGUUUUUCUUUUUUUGUCGAAGUUUUCUCUUUUUUUGCCAAUUAUCUAUUUGUCUUCCCAUGAAUUACUUCACUAGUAUAUCAUAACAUUUCAAGUUCAAUUCUUACAUAGUUAUUUCACUUAAUUAGAUUUGAUUUUUUUUUAGUUUAUAGUAAAAUUAUAAAAAAUUAUUAUAACUAACUUAACGCAAUUGUUUGCAAUUUCAAAAACGGUCUGAGUUGCUAGGUGUCGCUAGGUCUCAUUUUUUUAUUUUAUUAUUUCAUCUUUAUCUAAAUUCAAUUUUAAUUUAAUGUGUUCCAUUAAUAAAUAAAACUAAACCGUAUAGUUGGGUAUAUAUACAACAGCUGUAUAAAUGAACGGUACCCGAUCUAAUUAACCCCUCCCACCAUAAACUCUACGUACUAUAAUAAUUAUAAAAAAAAAAAAAGAGACAAGAGAGAGAAAAAAAAAAAAAAAACAAUACGAAGUCCAAUUAUCAACCAAAUUACAUAAGGGCUUCUUACAUAUAAUGCUUGCGUGCUUUGACUUAAGCUUCUUAAGAGUUAUUUUAUCACAAUUAAAUAAUUCAAAAAAUAUUCAAAUUAAACUCGUUAGAAAUAUAAUUUUGAAUAUUCAUAAAUUUUCUCUAUAUUAGUUUGAAUUUUACGGUCGACUUAUAACCAAAACUUGAGUCACAUCUGGUGAGUCGACUCACAUUUUUUAUCAUAGUAUCAAAGCUAGCUCGAUACACAUAUUCUUUUUUAAGGAAAAAAAAAGUCAAAUUUCAUUUGAUUCAACUUUUAAACAUUUCUAUGUAUUGAUUGUGCGGAUACAUGCAUCCAAAUCAAUGUGGGUGAAGAUUCAAAUUUUUAGAUUUGAAAAGCCAGGACCAAACUUAAACCUCUCUAAAAGAUCAAGGAUUUUGAAGCAAUUUACCUCUUAGUUAAUAAGUUAAAUUAAAAGGUCCCAACAUGGAAGCCACGUUUUAAUGUGCGCAGAUUUUAUCGGACAUUUAUUAUAUAAAUAAUAUAAAUUUUAAAGUCGCAUGAAUGACAAAUAGGAUAGCUUUAUGUUUAGAACUGUCCCCAUCAUUUUUUUUUUUUUAUUUUUGUGAACAAAAUUUUGGUGGGGUUAGGCCAUUUUGAAGUAGGCCUCCAAACUUCAAAAUUUUGAAUUAGCACCCUCUCCAUUUUCAUUUAUUUUGAUCUUAAUUAUUUUAGCCAUAGAUACAUAAUUAUCAGCAAACUUUACAUUUUCUUCGAUUAAAAGCAGUUAAACCCAUGAAAUUUGACAGAAUUAUUCAUGAAUAUAAAAAAAUUAUAAUAUAGUUGACUAAACUAACUCAAAUUAAAAGAAAAAAAUAGGUACAAAUGUAUCAAGAAUAUCUUUUCUGUGUUUUAUUUCUUUGUUUGAGAAUCUCUCAACUUCUAAUUUGUUUUGUUUGUGUUUUCAUACACAGUUUCGGUAACAAGUGUAUCAAACUUAAUAACGUCUCUAUUAAUUAUUAAUCAUAAUUUUAUUUUAUUUUAUUUUCUAAAUAAUAAAUGAUACUAAAUUUGAUAAAAUAUCUAAUAAUUUUUUUAAAAUAAAUUUUAACGAAAAUUAUUUUACUCAAAAAAAAUUUGAGGGGUCAUUGAACAUAUUUCUACAUAAAAAGUAAAAGAAAUAUCAAUAAAAAUGCAAAGUUUGGGCCUAUUUCAAAUUUUUCUGUACUUGAGGGUUCUCCAUACUUUUUUAUUCUUUUUGUUUAGUUGACAAAGUGAGAUUCAGAUCCACACGCCAAAUUAAAAAAAAAAAAAGAAAAAAAAAAAGAGGUGUACAACUGAAGAUACUAAAUAAAACUCUAGGCAUUGGUUGGUGAGCUGAGGAUGUUGACAUUUUCUUAAUACAUUUGUACAAUAUUUAGCCCGAAUCAUAUAGUAUGACGUGGCCAUUACCCAUUUGAUGUUGACAAAAACAGUGCCUCAAACAUCUAUGAAUACGAAAUAAGGAUUUAUUAUUCUUGUUCUAAAAGAUGACCUAACUUAUUCCAACUUGAUGUACACUUCCAAAUAUAGCAUGUUGGUUUAUUCACUUAUAAAUUCCUCCACGCAACGCAAGUUGCAAAUUGAUGUGGUAGAGAGCAAGGGAGCAAUCUACGUCAUGGUUGAAAAAAAUUGUUUCGAACAUCUUUUUAAGUUAUCUCGGAUGUUCAUUUUAAGAGAUCAGAGAUUCGAUUAUCUGCUAAUGUGAUUACAUAAUAGGAAAAAAUGUAUGCGAAUAUAGAAAAGAAUCUCCGGAUUAGACCUAUGGUGAAUUUUAGAUCUUAUUUAGCACCUCUUUCUUUUUUGUCAUUUAAAUAUUUAUAUACGUUGAAGGAUCGAUGCAUCUGUCUUUAAUCGGUAUAAAAAUUAUUUAUUAAUGAAAAAUAAUAUAUAGUAAAUGUUUAGUUUUCUAAAAAGAUAUUAUUUUAAAUCAAAUCAGUGUGCGACAAGCUCCCAAUAAUAACAAGAAUAGAAGGACUCUUAUCUUAUGCAUACAAUUACCUAAUUUUGGGUUAGUGAGAGGUCUAUACGUAAAUAUCAAAAGGUUUUGUCUUCAAGCAUCAUUGAAACUUAGGUUGUUUUUGAAAGUUAGGUUCAAGUUAGGAAUGCAAACCGGACGAAUUUGAGGGCAGGAACGUUUUUUUUUUUUGGGAGGAUCGACUAAAGUGGAUUCAGAAUAGAUUAAUUUUUAUCUUAUGUUGUUAUCUGCACAUAUGGUUUUAUUCUGGACGGGUUAGGAGGGAGGCGAAUUUUUGGCAGAUAUAUAUGCUACAGAUUGGAGUAGAUUAAGAAAAGGAAGGCAUCUCUCACCUACGUCAUUUCCUCAACAGAUCAUGGCAAUUUUUUUUUUUUUAUUUUUGAUAUCAUUUACUGUAUUAUUUGGAGUAGAGAGAGAAAGUCUGGCUACUAUACUCUUAUGAGUAUAGGCCUUUUGGUACUCAUAAGUUUUCGACUGUUAGAUCUACCCAUUUAAUUAUUUUCAUCCGUUAGAUCAUACUAUUUAACCAACCACCCACUAAAUUUUAGGAAACUAUUAUUACUGUAACUACACAUCCCUUCAUCCAAUGGUCGAAAAUUUAUAAGUCUAAAAGGAUUUAUAUUUAUAAAAGUACAGUAGUAAGGCUACUAUACUCUUUUGAGUAUUGACUAUUUCAAUCAUCAUCCUCUGUAGAAUUUUC
rnacentral:lncRNA from 1 species